rnacentral:lncRNA from 1 species
UAGGAGUCUCCCUAACAAGGAGUAAUACUAUUCUUUUACCCUGCUUGGUCAUAGCAUGGUAGUGGGAGCUGCCAGCUUCACGUGUUUUAACUCUAUCAGAGCACUUUGAAAAAGUGGUCUGUGGUAUCUGGAAAGUUGAUGUUACGUGUGAAGAUUACAGACAAGCUUUAUCCAAGGAGAUCUGGCUCUCGAAGUUGAGAAAGCGGUGUGAGGAUUAUAGACAAGCUUUAUCUAAGGGGCUCUCGAAGUUGAGGAAGCGGUGCCUCUUCGGUUUUCGAACAAGCAAUCCUGUCGGGGAUCUGUCUCUCGAGAUUCGGAAAACGGUGCCUCUUCGAUUUUUAAGAAAGCAAUCCUGCUAGGAGUCUAGCUCUCGAGAUUCGGAGAGCGGUGUCUCGUCGCUUUUUGAGAAAGUAAUCAUGUUGGGAGUCUGGCUCUCGAGAUUCGGAGGACGGUGCCUCUUCGAUCUUGAAGCAAGCAAUCUUGUUGGGAGUGUUUUCUCGAAUGUGAGUAAAGGUUAGGCCUGUUUGCUAGUCUUCCUUGCCACGGAGCACAGAGGUUGACCCACAGGGACUUUCCAAUUAUCCAGCAAUGGUCAUGUUCCUUUACCCUUGUGGGUCAUAAUAUGGUAGCUAGACCUUCAAAAUUUAUGUGUCUAAACUUUGUUAGUGCUGUUUCUUUGCUAUUCUUUUACCCUUCUUGGUCAUAGCGAUAUAAUGGGAGCUGCAAGCUUCACGUGUUUAAACUUUGUCAGAGAUUUUUGGCAAAGUUAUCUGUGUGUACCCGUGAGCUGAUGUUGCAUGUGGAAAGUGAAUGAUUGAACAGUAACAUUCACGUGCUUUCUACUUCACUAGAAAUCUUCGACAGAAUGCCCGUAAUUUCCGCAAAGUUGAGUGUGCAUGUGACAGGUGCUGACAAGGCUGAAAAAGCAGGUGCCUCUUCGAUUUCUGAGAUCGGCCCUUGUGGUCUCUGAGCAGCCUAACUUUUGAGAAAGCAAGCGCUUCUUCGAUUUCUGCGAUUGACCUUCGUGGUCUUUGAGCAGCCCAGCUUUUGAGAAAGCAAACGCCUCUUCGAUUCCUGAGAUCGACCCUCGUGGUCUCUGAGCAGCCCAGCUUUUGAGAAAGCAAACGCCUUUUCGAUUUCUGAGCAGGCGCCUCUUCGAUUUCUGAAGCUCCAUCGAGUGCGGAUUUUUAUAGAGGCUGUAUUAAGUUCCAAAGCACACUUGAAUCUCCACCAGUAGAAGCUCCCUUCUUGCAUUUCUAAGAUCUUGAUUUGUCCGACCUCUUUUCUCUUCAACACCUUUGAAAAUGUCUGGCCCCUCCGACCGUCGUUUUGACUUGAACCUUGUUGAAGAGGCAGCCACGCCUUCUCCAGACAACAUAUGGCGCCCAUCCUUCUUAUCCCCUAUUGGUCCUCUUACCGUUGGGGAUUCCGUGAUGAAGAAUGAUAUGACCGCUGCGGUGGUGGCCAGGAACCUUCUCACUCCCAAAGAUAACAUACUACUUUCCAAACGGUCUGAUGAGUUGGCUGUUAAGGAUUCUCUGGCUCUCAAUGUUCAGUGUGCAGGUUCUGUGUCUAAUAUGGCCCAACGCCUAUUUGCUCGAACCCGCCAAGUUGAAUCAUUGGCGGCUGAAGUGAUGAGUCUCAAACAGGAGAUUAGAGGGCUCAAGCAUGAGAAUAAACAGUUGCACCGGCUCGCUCAUGACUAUGCUACAAACAUGAAGAGGAAGCUUGACUAGAUGAAGGAAUCUGAUGGUCAGAUUUUACAUGAUCAUCAGAUGUUUGUGGGUUUGUUCCAAAGGCAUUUAUUGCCUUCGUCUUCUGGGGCUGUACCGCGUAAUGAAGCUCCAAAUGAUCAACCUCUGAUGCCUCAUCCUUCUAGGGUGUUGUCCAGUACUGAGGCUCCGAAUGAUCCCCCUCCGGUGCCUUCUCUUUCUGGAGUUCUGCCGACUGCUGAGACUUCUCCUAAGCAACCUUUGUGAAGGCUUCCUCUUGUUUGUUUAUUUUGACUCGUGUAUAUGUACAUAUUUGUAACUUCUUAGAGAUAUCAAUAAAUAAGCUUUGUUUCAUUUCAACGUAUUGUGUUAAAUACACCAAAGCCUUCUUCACUAAGUUCUUUGAAUUUUUCUUUUGUUGAAGCUUGUAUGUUGAAGCUUUGUGAGUGGAGCAUGUAGGUUGAGGUAGUGUUCCUUUAAUUUCCCGAGUGGGGAAAACUUCUCGAUUGGAGACUUGAAAAAUCCAAGUCACUGAGUCGGGUCGGCUAUAUGAAUCUUAGAACGCCAUUGUGCUCGAUCCUGUGUCAUGUCCUCCGUUAGAUCCAAGUACUCUAAGUCUUUUCUUAGAGUCUCUUCCAAAGUUUUCCUAGGUCUUCCUCUACCCCUUCGGCCCUGAACCUCUGUCCCGUAGUCGCAUCUUCUAACCGGAGCGUCAGUAGGCCUUCUUUGUGUUGGAAAUGUGCCCUAAAGCCAAUCAUAUGAUGAUACUUUACGGACAUUUCACAUGUUAAACUAAUCUAGUUUAAUAUAAAGGGCAAAGAUUAUUGUUUGAGCCGUCUCAUAUAAAUGUUAUAUGCUUAAACGAUAAAGUCCAAGGAAUAUGUGAUUGGGAGAAUGCAAUCUAAUGAAGUUAGAUUCAUGAGACCAUUCUUUCGUAGACACAUCCUAAAUGUUCCUGAUCAUAGGAUUGUUAAUUGGGCAUUGACAGUCCGUUAAGAUCGGUACGUACUGUGUCUUCUCUCAGGGAGAGUGACUAGUCUCGAGUCAUUGGUGUGUGUGACAUCAAGUCAAGUACGUAGGUGCUCAAUAGAGAAUGAGUUCACUGAACACGAUCAACGAAGAGUUCUCAUAUUCAUGUCACAUGAGAACUCAUGGUUGGGAUAAUGCAAAGUAGUCCUUUGACCUGAGGCAUCAUCGUUGUCUUGUGGUUAAGUCCUUGAUCUUUGAUUAUGUCAAACGUCAUUCCAUUGGAGUGUCCACGGCAUCGUUGGGGUUAAGCCACUUAGCCAUGGAGGCAAGUGAAUGCGCAACAAGGGAUCUCUAACCUUCAAACCGUUUGAGGGAGAAUACUCUAUGAUAUGAUCAGAAUCUCUGGCCAGAGUAUGAAUGAGAUUUAGGAAUGCGUUCCAAAUCACAUUCAAGGUAAUCAUAUAAGCACACGAAUCACAUUGGAUAGUAGACAUGAAUAAAUAAACUAUCAAACCAAACAAUGUGGUCAAGAGUAUUGUAUUAGAGAAAGACCGUAUUGCAUUUGUAAUCCUAAACUGAAUAGGUUCUCCACCUCUUCUGAUUAGCUUGGGUAACCAUGAUAUGCUGCUAGGUGUCACUCAUGGUUUGUGGAAGCCCUAAACGUGUAUAAUCACUAAAGGGAGAAUUGAAAGUAAGUUUCAAUUCACAAUCGAUGUAAAAUGGUUUUAAUCGCCCACUGCCUCGCUAAAAGGAACCUAAUGGAUCGCACACCGUGUAAGGUGGAGAUUGAAGAAACAAUGGAGAUGAGUAAGAAUGAUUAAAUGGUUUAAUUAUUUAUUUAUGGCAAGGAUUAAUUAAUAUGUUAAUUAAUCAAACGAAUAAGUUCGUUAAAGACCUCGGGAUAGUUUUGGACGUUUAGGCCCAAUGGGCUUCGAACGUCAAGCCCAUUGACUUAAGUUGUAUGACAACUUAAUUCACAAAAGCCCAAAAGCCCAAACAACACCCUAUGGCCGGCCAUUUAGAGGAAGGGUAGUGAACUUGCUUUAAUUACAAGUUUGCCACUCAAAUGAACAAAGGUAUAAAUAUGACUUUAUAGCCUUUUGUUCAUUAGGGUUUGUUUUGGAGAAAAUUGGAGAGAACAUGUCUCUCCAUUUCUCUAAAGAGGCCGGCCCCCUUGGAGGGUGCAUCUAGCAAUCCCACUACUCCAAGGUCACUCAUUUCUUCUCCAAUCUAACCUUGGUGAAGAGACUUAGAGGUUCUCUAUUUUGGGAACUUGGAGAAUCCUAUUCUUCCAUCCAAAUCCAUAGAUUUAAUAUGCAAGGAAUGAAGGCCCUCUCUUUGGGUGAUUAGCCUUUGCUUAUGCAAAGAGGAAUCUACAAAGGUAUAUUUCUCAACUCACUUUGAUUUGAGUUGAGUCUUGGUUCACCAAUCUACUAGGCUUUGAAUUUCAUGGUUAAUGUUUUGUUUUUAAGUGCAUGCAAACAUGAUUCCGCCUUUAAUUGUUAAUUGCAUGCUUAUUGAUGUUGCUUAAAUGAACAUGUUUUCACAAAAUAUUCCUUCACUUUGCACAUUUCCAAACCACCGUAACCGAUUUUCUCUCAGUUUUCCUUCAAUUUCGGCUACUCCUACUUUACCUCAGAUAUCCUCAUUCCUAAUCUUAUCCUUUCUCGUGUGCCCACACAUCCAACGAAGCAUCCUCAUCUCCGCUACACCCAUUUUGUGUACGUGUUGGUGCUUCACCGCCUAACAUUCUGUGCCAUACAGCAUCGCCGGCCUUAUUGCCGUCCUAUAAAAUUUUCCCUUAAGCUUCAAUGGCAUACGACGAUCACACAACACGCCGGAUGCACUCUUCCACUUCAUCCAUCCAGCUUGUAUUCUAUGGUUGAGAUCUCCAUCUAAUUCUCCGUUCUUUUGCAAGAUAGAUCCUAGGUAGCGAAAACGGUCGCUCUUUGGUAUUUCCUGAUCUCCGAUCCUCAUCCCUAACUCAUUUUGGCCUCCAUUUGCACUGAACUUGCACUCCAUAUAUUCUGUCUUUGAUCGGCUUAGGCGAAGACCUUUAGAUUCCAACACUUCUCUCCAAAGGUUAAGCUUCGCAUUUACCCCUUCCUGAGUUUCAUCUAUCAACACAAUAUCGUCUGCGAAAAGCAUACACCAAGGAAUAUCAUCUUGAAUAUGUCCUGUUAACUCAUCCAUUACCAACGCAAAAAGGUAAGGACUUAAGGAUGAGCCUUGAUGUAAUCCUACAGUUAUGGGGAAGCUUCCGGUUUGUCCUUCAUGAGUUCUUACGGCAGUCUUUGCUCCUUCAUACAUAUCCUUUAUAGCUUAGAUAUAUGCUACUCGUACUCCUUUCUUCUCUAAAAUCCUCCAAAGAAUGUCUCUUGGGACCCUAUCAUACGCUUUUUCCAAAUCUAUAAAGACCAUGUGUAAAUCCUUUUUCCCAUCUCUAUAUCUUUCCAUCAAUCUUCGUAAGAGAUAGAUUGCAUCCAUGGUUGAGCGCCCUGGCAUGAACCCGAAUUGGUUGUCCGAAACCCGUGUCUCUUGCCUCAAUCUAUGCUCAAUGACUCUCUCCCAGAGCUUCAUUGUAUGACUCAUUAGCUUAAUACCCCUAUAGUUCAUGCAAUUUUGUACGUCGCCCUUAUUCUUGUAAAUAGGCACCAAGGUGCUUUUUCGCCACUCGUUUGGCAUCUUCUUCAUUUUCAAAAUCCUAUUGAAAAGGUCAGUGAGCCAUGCUAUACCUGUCUCUCCCAAGGCUUUCCACACUUCAAUCGGUAUAUCGUCUGGGCCCACUGCUUUUCUAUGCUUCAUCUUCUUCAAAGCUACAACCACUUCUUCCUUCCUGAUUCGACGAUAAAAUGAGUAGUUUCUACACUCUUCUGAGUUACUCAACUCCCCUAAAUGAGUACUCCUUUCAUGUCCUUCAUUGAAAAGAUUAUGAAAAUAACCUCUCCAUCUGUCUUUGACCGCGUUCUCUGUAGCAAGAACAUUUCCAUCCUCAUCCUUGAUGCACCUCACUUGGUUUAAGUCCCUUGUCUUCUUUUCCCUUGCUCUAGCUAGUUUAUAGAUAUCCAACUCUUCUUCUUUGGUAUCUAGUCGCUUAUACAUAUCGUCAUAAGCCGCUAACUUAGCUUCUCUCACAGCUUUCUUCGCCUCUUGCUUCGCUCUUCUAUACCUUUCACCAUUUUCAUCGGUCCUAUCCUUGUAUAAGGCUUUACAACAUUCCUUCCUAGCCUUCACCUUUGUUUGUACCUCCUCAUUCCACCACCAAGAAUCCUUUUGGUGUGGAGCAAAGCCCUUGGACUCUCCUAAUACCUCUUUUGCUACUUUUCGGAUAUAGCUAGCCAUGGAAUCCCACAUUUGGCUAGCUUCCCCCUCUCUAUCCCACACACACUGGGUGAUUACUUGCUCUUUGAAAAUGACUUGUUUUUCUCCUUUUAGAUUCCACCAUCUAGUCUUUGGGCACUUCCAAGUCUUGUUCUUUUUUCUCACUCUUUUGAUAUGUACAUCCAUCACCAACAAGCGAUGUUGAUUAGCCAAGCUCUCCCCCGGUAUAACUUUGCAAUCCUUACAAGUUAUACGAUCCCCUUUCCUCAUUAGAAGAAAAUCUAUUUGUGUUUUUGACGACCCACUCUUGUAGGUGAUCACAUGUUCUUCUCUCUUCUUAAAGAAGGUGUUUGGCUAAGAAGAGAUCAUAUGCCAUUGCAAAAUCCAAGAUAGCUUCCCCAUCCUCAUUUCUCUCCCCAAAACCAUGGCCACCAUGAAAACCUCCAUAGUUGCCUGUCUCCUUGCCCACGUGUCCAUUUAAAUCUCCUCCUAUAAAUAACUUCUCCGUCUGAGCAAUUCCUUGCACCAAGUCUCCAAGGUCUUCCCAAAAUUUCUCCUUCGAACUCGUAUCCAACCCUACUUGAGGUGCGUACGCACUAAUCACAUUGAUGAGUUCUUGUCCUAUUACAAUCUUGAUUGCCAUGAUUCUAUCUCCUACCCUCUUGAUAUCUACAACAUCUUGUGUCAAGGUCUUGUCCACAAUGAUGCCAACACCGUUUCUUGUUCUAUUUGUGCCCGAAUACCAAAGCUUAAACCCUGAGUUUUCUAGAUCCUUUGCCUUAAGACCAACCCACUUAGUUUCUUGUAGGCACAUAAUAUUUAUCCUUCUUCUCACCAUAACUUCCACUACUUCCAUAGAUUUUCCCGUUAAGGUUCCUAUAUUCCACGUUCCUAAACGCAUUCUACUCUCUUGAACUCUACCCUUCUGUCCUAGCUUCUUCACCAUCCCCCGUCUAAUAGGAUCAAAGUACUUCUUUUGUGUGUCCUGUGUAAAGUUGAUAGGAGCAUAUGCUCCAAAACAACUUUGAGUGGAGUCGUUCGAAAAGAAGUUUCUAUGGCCCCCUUGCUCAUUUAACAUUGCAUCCGGGUGCCGAUGGAGAUACAGCGACCCUUGCUCACUUAUCACUGUGCUCGGGCCACACAGCGCGCCACUUACGGGUGACGUCCUAGCUUUAGCGCGAUUUCGUUCUGGAUUCAUUGUCAUAAGGAUUCGACGUAACUGUGGAGUGCCGGCUGUCGACUACUUGACGCCCUCCCCCUCCUCCUUUAUCCGGGCUUGGGACCGGCAAUGUAAGAUAAACUUACAUAGGCGGAGUUAAGGUCGCUCUUUCCAUCAAUGUGAGAUUAUUCUCAACACGCCUCCUCACAUGUCGUGAAUUUUCAAGCCUAACACGUGGACAACACAAUGGGUGACGUGGAGCGCAUGUGGCCGUUUGACUUCACAUGUGGCGCAUCUUAAGCAAGUUGUCAACCAACUCUAUUUAGGAUUUGGGUAGGCAUUAGGAACAUGUUCUGACACUUUCAAAAGUCUACCUUGUAGACUUAACACUCCAUGUAAAAUUGAAUUGAAAUACUUACUUAUGGUCUCCCGGACCGACAAAUGCUACUCCCAAUUGUGCGAUUCUUUACAUGAUGUGCAAAUAUUUGCAAAAACAUGCAAACUUGUUCUUCCAUUGUCACUACACCAUCCAAUUUGACUCUUACCGUGGUCACUAAGCAUUUGAUUUGGUUCACACAGUGAGCAUCAUCAUGUCCUAUUAUAUUGUCUAAAUAGGCUGACCCUACCAUUCUCUUGACAAAUGUGUAAUUUCUAAGUGCAAGUUUCCAAUUCCGCCUUCUAGCAGAAUUAUGACUGAUCAUAAACCACAUCAUCAACCAAGUCACACUAUUCAAGUACCACAACUUAUCAAUGAAGCAGCCACAAUCUUUCUUUCAUUCAUGUCUAGUGAAAAUAUCAAAUAACUUUAUUAGGUGUUGGCAAAUAAAUAAAUCAUUGGAUGUAUGUGUAAUGACACAAGAAGUAUACAAGAAGACAUGAUUGUUAGCCAGUUAAAGCAAGAAUGUAAACAAGAUUAAACAUUCGUAGGAUGCAAGAAUACAGGGUUAUUGUCUAAUUAUCUUGCUAUUUGGCCAUGAAUGGAUGGUUAUUGGCUAAUUAUCUUGCUGUCUAAUUUUGAUGUAUUGAAGUAUAUUUUUCCCUUAUAAAGAUCACUAAUGUCGAUUUAAGAAUUAGAAUUUCCUAGUCUUCAGAAUGGGAGACAUAAAAUGGUGAAUUUAAUAUGUGUUUUCUAUUCUGUUGAAUAAUUGUUUCAAAUUAAUGUGUUUUGCAGGAAAGACAUAGAAUACAUGUGCACAACAUUGGAAGUUCAAACUUGAAUUCAGAAUCACAGUCUGCUUUUAGCUGAAACAGAGGGAUAUUAUACAAUGCAACAAAACUAUACAAACUUUGACAUUCAUGUUCGACAUUCAUAUUCAUUUGUUAUUACGAUGGAUGAUUCAGUUAGAUGUUGUAACAAAUGGUUCAGAUCUUGACUUACAACAAACCUUAAAUUUCAACCCCAACAAUAAACCCUAAAAUUCAAAAAUUCUAAUUAAAACACAAAAUUAUAUAAAUCAGUUGCAAAAUUAGAAAGAAAACAAUAAUUAGAUUCAAUCAAUUGAAAGAAAAUUGCAAUAAAAAUAGAAGGAGAAGGGAAGAAUAGAAGGAGGGGGCGGAACCUAGGAAGAAGAAGGAGGAGGAGGAGGAGGAGGAGUAGGAGAAGAAGAACAUGAAAUUCAGACGAUGAAGUAGAAGAAAGAGUAAGAGAAGACGAACCUGGGAUUCUGACGAGAGAGCAAGCGCGAGAGGCAGAGAGAGCACGGAGAGAGGAUGCAGUGAGCGAGACCCGAUUAAAUAAUAAAAAAACUAAUGAAACCGUUUGAACUUUGAGUUUUAACGAUAAAGAUAAAAUAAAGGGUAAAGUGAAUGGUAUCAGGAUUGAUUUUUUAAUGUAAAAAUAUGGUUUUUCAUUAAAGUGAACAGUACCGAGAGCUUUUUGUUAAAGUUUCCUAAAUAAUAUCGUGGUUUUGGAAAGGAUAAGUAAUCGGGUACUAUUUAAUACAUACGGACACCAAAGACAUGGCUCCGUAUUAUUAGUCUUAUCUAGUGAGUUCUAUGGCGUAUCAAAUAAGGCCUAAGUAUUUGGUUAACUCGUGACUUACUUUGCAGGUGCCUAAUUUGCUGAUGAUUUCCCCAUCGCCAUUUUGUUCUUGGCAGAGCGAGUUUCGAUGGUCAUGAAUUUCGUAAUUAUCAUAGACUGGUCUAACUGAGCAUGCCAAAAUGUUGACCCUAAAAAGCCAAUGUAGCACACAUAUCGAGUAACUAGAUCUAACUACGUUGUUCUUGUGAAUGUAGGUGUGUUAACUCACAACCGAGCUACGUCGGAUGAGUAGAAUAAAUGUAAUGGUGGUGACCUUUUAGGCGAAAGAACUAGAAACUUUUUGGGCCGCCAAGACAUGGAUAGAUAACCAACCAACCUAAGAGAAAUGCUAUUUACUUGUCCAAACUGAAGUUGCUCCUAUGAUGCUUGAUUUUACAACUUCAAUGCAAUUUAUGCAUCAAAAUUGAAGGUAUCGCUGGCUGUCAACAAAGUGAUGUUUACUUAUCCACACUAAAGAUAUAUUGGCAUAAGGGUGAUGGUAGUUAGUGUUUUUCCUGGGGGGGGUGUGAGAAGGUUUUCUUGUAGAGCGAUGUUUUUGUGUAAAGCGUUUUAUAUUGUUUUUUAAGUUGAGGAGACUUUUCAUGUAGCAGAAUUUCUUCUAUUUAUAAUUUACUAGCAGAGAGCAUACACUUUGUGUGUGUGAACAACCGCCCACCUUCUCCUAUAUUCUCCUCAAGCGCAAUCGUUUCAGUUCAUUCAAACUAUCCAAAAAACAUCAUGAUUUCACUUACCUGUAUGAAAAAUGAUGGUGGGAUAAUUUCUCUUAAUAAGUGCAUAUUUUUAUCUUGUGUAAAUAUUUUGAUAUAAAAUUACCAUUUUGUCAAAAGGUACAAAAUUACUAUUUUACCAUUCUCAUGUCAAUAUUGUGUAUUCAAAAGUGAGGGUAAAAUUAGAAAAAAAUGGGGCAAAAAAUUGACAAGCCCUCUUCUCUCUUAAUAAAAUAGAUAAGGAUGGUUUUCAUGAUAAACAAGCAUGCCUAGGUAGGGUUCUGAUAGGACUGUGUUUGCUUAGCAUUUACCUUAAAUACUAUCUACCUUUAUCUCUUUAAUUCCUUUCUUAGACAAAACUUCAUCACCAUCCUAUCUCGACCUCUUUGAUUCCAACUAGGAUUCUAAACUUAAUCGCUUUAUGCGAUUAGUUCAUUCUUAUUAGCAAGAAUGAAUUAUGAUCUGUAGAAUAGUUCGCAUUCAUUUUGAUCAUUGGCAAUUUUAGUUUACUUAAGACUCAAUCGCACCACAUCUGAACUUAAUCCUUUCAUAGUUCCACUUUCGUGAAGACUCGGUCGAAUCAACCCUUUCUUGGACUGAAAGCCCACAGGCCUGAGGGAUCAUUAGUGGGCAGAGGAUUGUGUUUUUCCAACUCGGAUUAGCCCAUUCUCAGUUGAAACUGUUAUAUACUGAUAAAGAAUAUGCAACAAUCAAUGUAUAUUAUCAUUUUUAUUAAUAUAUUAAUCUAUUCUGGUCAAAACGAGUAUUUACAUACAGAUUUGGAUCCCCUCCCUGGGGAUCCUAGGGAUCAACACACGUGGACCGUUGAUAAAAAAUCAUAUGGCCACAAUUUUUUCUUUUUUAUAUUUUCACGCAAAACGAGAUUACUUUACUUUAAAAAAUAUAAGAAGCAUUUAAUUAUGGCCGCACGAUUUUUGAUCAACGGUCCACGUGCGUUGAUCCCCAAGAUCUCCAGGAAGGAGAUCCGUCGAGGAUCCAAAUCCUUUACAUACCAUAUACAAGAAAACUUUUCGACUACAAAGUAUAAAAUGAACAUUCCUAUGCAUUUUCUAUCGUUCAUUAGAGAUGUUUUAAAUACCAAAAAUGCCAUUUAGCCAAAUGGCUCUUAAUAUCAUGUUAACACUUUACCGCCAGAUAUAUACAAAUUCACUGUGCAUGACAACCCUAUUCAUUAAUACUCUACGGUUUGUUUGGAUGUAUUUUUAAAAUAACUGAAAACACUUUUGGUGAAAAUAAUUUUGAUACCAAUCAUUAGUAAAAAUUCAAGUGGAUCCUGAAAAAGCACUUUAACUAAUUCCUGCAAGAAGCACAUAUUUGGUGUUUCUUUCAAAAAAUAUUUAAAAUGCUUUUGGAACUCAAAAUCAAUUUAAUUAAAAACGUUUUUAGACAUUUUAAAAGCAUAUCUAAACAAACCCUAGAAUUUUAACAAAAAGCUCUGAUACUGUUCAUUUUAACGAAAAAUCAUAUUUUUACACUUAAAAUCAAUAAUUGUACUAUUUACUUUACUAUUUAUUUUGUCUUUAUCGUUAAGGACAAAAUAUUAUUGAUGGUGAAAUCGUUAGAUAUAGCCCUUCUCCCAUAUGAGUCGUAACCGUGCCACGUUUGACACCCAAGCCUCAACCAAUAAAUCCAUGCCACGUAGAUAAUACCUCAAAACUGACGUUCCUGCAGCCAAUGAAAAUUGAGAUGACUUGUAAAAUAAUACUAAAAUUGGUGAAGGCAAAAAAUAAUUGGGUUAUAUAAAUUGCCGAAUUUUCCAACCAAAAAGUAAACAAAUAUAAAUUGCAGGAUCCGUUCAAAGAAGAAGAGCAUCGAAGACUCUAGAUUUUGGAUUCUGAUCUCCAUGGCGUACGUCGAGCGAGGUUCUCUCUCUGCGCCUUUAUUGUAAUUUCGUAAAUUUAUUUUGCAAAUGUUGGGUAAUAUUAUCGAUUUCGGAAGCUAGGGUUUGUUGCUAGAAUUUGAAAUUGCGGUUUGAUCAGCAAAUAUCGUUAAAUUAUGUGUUUCUUAUGAAUAGCAUUCUUUGUUCCAAGUUUAGCAAUCUUUGUUUUUUAUCUUUAAUCUUCUGAAAUUAUAAGGACGAAGUCUGUUUUUUUCUUUUAAUUUAUUUUGGUAAUUCUUUUGUACGAUUAAUCUUGAUACAGAUGAUCGUUUUGGAGUUUUGGAACAUGGUUUUUUCUGUUUAAUUUGGGAUCCUAAUUUCUUGAUUUUUCAAUGUUGUAAUUAGGGGUUCAAUUUUGUUGUUUGUGUCUUCUUUUGAAGGGGAUUUUUAUUUUCUAUAAUUUGCGAUACUUGCCUUGUUAACGAGUUUGUGUUUUGCGUAGCUAACAAUGACAAUUAGUCAAUUAGAUGUGCUCCAACUUGAUUGCAGGGCUAGCAUAAAGAACGUUUGUGUGAUUUUUAUGGCCUUUUUAUUUGUUUCUUUGGCUAUGCUUUUUUGGUUCUACUAUGAAUAUUAUGGAUGACAAGUGAAUACGAGCUCGGCUUGGGAUUGACCAUUUUGUUUUUAGAAUUCGAAAUGAAAUGUUCUAUUGCUUUUUGGAAAAUUCCUAUGCAGUACCUAUCUAUCUUUCAUGUUAUUUCUGCUUAUGUUGGAUUUUGAGUACAGGGUAUUUUUUUGCUUUCUAUUUUGUCAAGUUUCUUUUGUAUCUCUGCUUUGGGUAGUGUUUGGUUUAUGGAAUGAAGUCAAGUUGAGAAUGAUGAAAUUGAACUAAAAUUGAAACUUGAAGAGAGUUAACUGGUAAAGCACGAAAAUUGAAAAUCAAUGAGGAAUGUAAUUGACAUUAUACAUUAUUUUUGGGGACUGGACAUUCCAUGUAUACAAAUAACCGGCAUUCCAUUCCAAGGUUCAAUCCAAUGAAACCAACAUUAUUUUACCACUAAAACAACAACAACAAAACUUUAUUCCACUAAGUGGGGUCGGCUGGAAGAAUCUUAGUACGCCAUUCCGCCCAGUUUUGCGUCUGUUCUUUCGUUAGCUUUAAGUACUCCAUGUCUCUUUUAGUCUCUUUUCAAGUUUUCUUAGGUUUUCCUUUACCCCUUUGGCCCCAGCCUUUGUCUCAUAGCCACAUUUUCAAACCAGAGCAUCUAUAGGUCUUGUGCUUACAUGUCCAAACCACCAUAACUACUUUUCUCUCAUCUUAUCUUUAAUUGCGGCCACUCCUACUUUACCUCGAAUAUCCUGAUUCUUAAUCUUGUCAUUUCUCAUGUGGCCACACAUCCAACAAAGCAUUCUUAUCUCCUCUACAUUUUUUUUGCAUGUGCUGAUGCAAUUUUGUAUGUCUCCGUAGUCAACUAUCCUGGCAUGAACCCGAAUUGAUUGUCUAUGCUCAAUCUCUCUCCCAAAGCGUCAUUGUAUGUCUCAUUAACUUAUUACCCUUGUAGUUCAUGCAUUUUAUACGUCUCCCUUAUUCUUGUAGAUUGGCACCAAUGUGCUUUUCCGCCACUCAUUUGACAUCUUUUUUGUUUUCAAAAUCUUAUUGAAAAGGUUUGUAAGCCAUGCUAUUCCCGUCUCUCUAAGACUUUCCACACUUCGUAUGUCUUCGGUCCCACCACUACACUCUUCCGUGUUACUCAACUCACCCAAAGAAGUACUCAUUUCAAGUCCUUCGUUGAAAAUAUUAUGAAACAAGCUCUCUAUCUGUCCUUAACCGCGUUACAAUAAGACUUGUUUUGUUGGAAGCACUGAUGCUUAAUGCACCUUAAUGAGCGUGACUUAGCUGGUUUACUGAUCCAUGUUUGCUUGGUUAGUUGCGAGCUCAGCUGCUUCUACUAAUUUAGGGCUAAGUAGCACCUACACCUAUUGUUCUAAUAUGUAGUGGCCACGAGUAACCACAGUCCAAGAGACAGCAAUGAUUUUUUAGCCCAGUCUGAUAAAAUUGAAAUUAUCAUAUGCAUGAUCUAUUGUUGAGACUGGGUUACUAAUUUUAGUCGGAUAAUGCAAUUAGGUGGCAUUGGGAAUUAGGUGUUUUGUUUGUUUCCCAGUGUUUAUAUUUGAUAAUAACAAAUAUCCUAUAUCUAAAUGAUGUUGGGAAAUGUUAGACGAUUGAUACUCGUGUCAUGAUUAUGGAGCUGACCAGGUGGUAAUUUGCAUACUUGUUUGUUUAGGUGUUGUGAAAUCCAAGCGAUCCAUUUGGCGACUCAAGACGAUAACUGAUUUCUUCUGGGCCAUUGUCAACUUGAUAGGCGUGUUUUUUGCUACAAUGUUCUCGGUAAGAAUAAGAGUCGUCUUGUUCUCUGCUCUGUAAAACAGUAUCUUACUUUUGGAAGUAUCAAAUUAAUUUUGUCUACUAGAAACUUAUGCUCUUAAUAUUUAAUUGUAUAGAUGGAAAAGUCUGAUGCUUACAAAAAAGGAUCUGCUUCUGGAAAGAAAUGGGAUGGUGGUGGCCCCGGAGGCCCUGGAGGGCCAUAUGGUGGCCGUCCACGCGGGCCACCUCGCGGACUAGACAAUGUCCGUGGAAUUGACCAUAGUAAGUUAAUUAUCAUCAUCAACAUCAUCUCUCUCUCUCUCUCUCUCUCUCUCUUCAUUGUUUGAUUUUCUUUUCUUUUUAAUUCUCGUUAAUACUGCUUUCUGUUGAACUCUCAGGUGCUGUGCCCGCCUGUGGUUCCUGCUGUGGUUAAGUAGGGGAAGAGCAUAUCAGCAUGAUGUCUUGUGCAUCUUUUUCAUUGUGCCUCGAAACUUUUUAGGAAUGAUAAUUGGUAUGUUACUGUAGAUAGAUCAUGAACAGGGAGAGCACCACUAUGAUAUAUGCAAUAAUCGACUUUAUUUUGCGUCUUUUGAUGCCAGAUCUUAAGAAUUGAUGUGCCUGUUUUAUCUAUGUAAAAGGAUGUGAGUGAGUCCUGAUGAUAAUUUCAAGCAUGAGAAUCUUCACUUUCAGAAUUAUUGAUGUGGUGAGUUGUGUGUUUCUUUGGAAAAAUAUUGUUUAACUUGAGUGCAACGAAAGUUGGUGUCGUAGGUAAUUUUUUGUAGUGUUUAUAGGGCUUUUUUACCGCACUUCACAUAACUGGGUAAAUACUACUCAGGUUACAGUGUUCUAUACUCGUGUGCUUCAAUUGUUGCCACUUUGCGCUUAUGUUGUUCCUGACUUGUAUGGCGGAGACGUGGGCCGUUGCCAGUGUCAUGGCAUCGGCACCACGACCGGGGCUAAUGGUUUACACUCGAGGCUGCCAGCCCGAAAGUGUCAGAAGUGUUGUAGGGGUGGGCGAACAGAACAUAAGACAUAGGAUAAAAAGGUCGUACCCAGUGCACAAGGCUCCCGCUUUACGCAGGGUCUGGGAGAGGUGAAUGUCGGCUAGCCUUACCCCCAUUUAUGGAGAGGCUGCUCUCAAGUUUCGAACCCGAGACCUACCGCUCAUGGACGAAGGCACUUGCCAUCGCAUAAGACAUAGGAUGCUUGAGUAAAAUUUUCUUAAUCAAUUGAGCGAUCCAUUCUUUCAACGUAGACUUAUGUUUGUUUAAUCUGCCUCCUAAACGCUAAAUCGAGGGUGUGUGAGUUUUGUUGGAUAUGUUUGAGUUGGGUUACAACUUCAUUGGAAAACCAAUUAAGGUAAUACCCUAUAAUCAAGUCAUUUCACUCUGCAUUUCAAUAAAUAAUGACUGAUUUGUAGUUUUAGUUUCAUAAAUGGUUCAUGUUUGCACUUUUAGAAAUAGUGCAUUUCUAAGAAUAGUGCAUUUAUAGGUGUUUCAAUUUGCAAUUCUAUAAAAAUAGUGAGCUUUUCAUUUGGAACAUAAUUAACAACAAAUUUUGUCAGUAAACAAUUAUACAAAUAAUUACUGGUUACAAUUUCACAUGUAGCCAAAAUAGAAACCCAUCACUCGCACAAGACAAAUCUUGAUGCAUCACUGAAGUAGGAUAUGAGCCGACAAUUCGAUGCCAAGACACGCAGCCUACCGUCAAUUACAACUCAAUUACCACUCAUACGUCGUCACGUUAGCUAAGCCCUUCACCGCCCAACGAAAUACACGUCUCAACUAACCCAAUAAAGGAAUGCAUCUCGAGUGCAAAUAGAAAUAGUGUCAAACUGAAAAUCCGAAACCGUUCUAGUUUGCAGUGCUAGAAAUAGUUCAAGCUUAUCAGUUUUUAACCCAUUGUUUAUCAACAAAAGAUAAUACCAUUAUUCUGUAAGUUUAUUACUAUAAUGUGACUGUGUCCAGAUUCCUAGUGUCAUUCCUUGUGCUCAACCACAAGAAGAGUCUUCCAUGUAAGAACAAGGAAGAACAAGAACAAAGAACAGGAAUCCUUCACUAGGGGUUAUGAAUGACUGAUUUUUCCCAUUCUUUUUUACCUUGGUUUUGCAGUAGCAAGUCAGAAAGAUUGACAAAUAGAGAAACAUCCAAUACUCUACUCUAUUUUAUAUUUCAUCGGGAGUAAUUGAAAAAGAAAAAUAGUAAUAAAUAGAUUUAUUAUCGUUUUUUUUAACGGAGAGUGGAAACUUCAUUUUAUUGGCCUAGCCAAGAGAACCAUAAAUUAUUCUAAUUGAUUAUGUUAAUCCCUACACCUUCCAGAAAAAGUGGAUCUAAUUGAAUUUCACGUUCCAAAAUUUUGAUAAUUCAAUCAAUCUUUCUCUUCUAGAAUAUUAACUGAUUGGUGAAGAAGGAAGGUUAGCUUAAAAAGAAAGCAUUCAUAGCCGUGAGUUGCUUAAAUUAUCUCAAUCAUCCCCCCUUUCGGUGGUAGAACAGUUACUGACUAUUUAUACUGGAACGAAAUGUUAUCUUGAUUCAUUAGAAAGUGGAUUGUGGGAAUGAUCAAUGACUUGAGUUUAGUUCUUGAGUUUGAGCAGGGGUAACAUUCCGAUCUUAAGCAAAGUCAUCCUGCCUGUCCUAUUCAGUCAUUUGCAUAUUGGUAAGCAUGAUUGUAGAAAUACAAAUAGGCGAAAGAGCUAUUUUCAACAAAUUAAUAUAUGGGUGCCUGGCAAAUCCAGACGAUCAGCUUUAGAAUGCGCUUCGUGCCUAAAAUUCAAGGGCUUUGGAAGGGAAAUACACACACUUGUCGUUUCAAAUGCGGUCAAAAAGCGCGUAGAAAAUACAUAUGAAGAAAAUGUGAAUAGAUGUGCGGAAGUUCCUGUUGGAGUUGGAGAUGCAGGAGCAGUGAACAUGAUUCUUGCAGUGGCUUGUGCAGAAGGAAGAAAUAUGGUGAAUAGGAGUCCCAGUUUGGUAUGUAUGCUUCCACAAGGUAACUUGUGUUCUGUGACUUAAAAUUUAAAUUUGAUGAGUACAUUAUAACUAAUUCAUUGAUUAAAUUUAAUAAAUAAAAAAAUUAUGUUGUUAAUGAUUUUUAUCAAAUGAAUUUAUGUUUUGAAUAGUAAUCAUAUUUUGUUAGCGUAUUGAUUUGCAUGUAAUAAAUGUUACCUGUUAGAAAAAAAUGAACCUAACGCACCCUUCUAUAUCAUAUAAUUGAUAAGUGACCACCCAACAUUAACGUGCGUAAGUGAUAUAGUUGAUUAGUGACCCUACGUUCACGUGCCUAUGUGACCUAUGACAAAUGAGUACGUUUAGUUUUGAAGACUCACUAAUAUAUUUUAGGAAACUUUAACGAAAAGCACCCAGUACUGUUCACUUUAACGAAAAACCACAUUUUUACACUAAAAAGUCAAUCAUGAUACUAUUCACUUUACCCUUUAUUUUGUCAUUAUCAUUAAAACUCAAAGUUUUCAAGCCAUUUUCAUUAGUUUUCCUUAUAUUUUAAUCUCAUCUGGUCAUUAUCGUGUGACUCACUAGAAACGAAAAUCGAACCUAAAACGUGCCGUGUGGAAUAUGGAUCUGAAAUUUAUUCUAGUUUUGAAGACUCACAAAUAUAUUUUAGUCUCAUUCGGCCAUUAUUGUGUGACUCAUUGGGGACGAAAAUCAAACCUAAAACAUGUCGUGUGGAAUAUGGAUAUGAAAUUUAUUCUAACUACUUGACCACCUCAUCGUGGUUAGUUUUGGAAGUUGAUAGUAUCGAGCCCAACGCAAGCCUAGCAGGUGAAUUGUAAAGGUUAUCAUUUUUUUUAAGUAACGUUAGGUUCAUCAAAUUCUUAGGCUAAAUUUGUAAAUAAAAGGAUGUGUAACUAAUAGAAAAUAACCAAUCAAUCCAAUUAUCAACAACUGCAUUAUAUAGUUUAUCAAAUUUGGCCUAAAUAGUUGGUCUCUUUUGCAUUAACCAUUUUAGAUAUGAAAAUGGUUGGUAGAAUUUUUUUUCAAUGUGCCGAAAACAUGGCUUCUCUCAUCUUCUCUUGUUUGGCAUGUUGAUCCUCCCCUUGAGAUUCUUCAUUUUCUACAAUCAGAUUUCUUAGGCAUACCGGCCUACAGAUUUAUCUCUCUGAAGUGUCAUUUUCUUUUUUACCUAAUCCUUUUGGAUAUUCUUUUUUAUUUUGCAGAUUUUCUUGUAGGUCCUUACUUUUUAGGUUUUAAUUUGGAAGGGUUUGGUUCUAUGCCUCCCCUCUUUUUCUUGUAUUUUCUUUUCCGAGAGGGAUAAGAUUUAUGUCCCCUUUCUUUUUCUUGUAUUUUCUUUUUCAAGAAGAAUAAGAUUCAUGUCCCACCUAUUUUCUUGUAUUUUGUCUUUGUUUCUUUAUAAGGGAUAAGGGUUAUGUCCCCCUUAACUAGGUGUAACUUCUUUUUUUCAUAUGAAUAAAAUUCUCUCGUACCGUCGAGGUCUUCCAAAUAAAAAAAUUAAAAAAAAAGGAUCACGAUUCUGUACAUUAAGUGUCAUAAUAGAAGUGAAAUAUUUUUUCAAGCAACCAAUCACUUGUAUUACGAUAUUUGGUUUACCAAUAUAUGUUUCUGGCACACUGAAAAGUCUUUGGUUGUGGUGAUAUGCAAAAGUGUGCAAGGAAGUGUCGUGAAGCCCUUGUGAUAAACAUGAGAUAAUUAAAGUGCAUUGAGUUGCAUGGAUAAAAGUUUUUUCUUUUGAUAAUGUUAGGGAGACCAAACUAAAUGAUGUGGUUGUUGAUGAUUGGAUUAUUACUUAAGCGUUGAUUAAUGUGCAUAUGUGACACAUAAUUUGGUUUACAAAUUUGAUUUAAAAUUUUGGUCUCCCUCGUUUUACCCUUUUUUCUUGGGUAAUGCUAGAGAGACUUAAUUUGCAGACUAAAUUUUGGAAACUAAAGGGCAUGAAAGUUGAUGAUUGGUUUAUUACUUAAGUAUUAAUAAACUUACUCAUUUCUAUUGAUGACACAUCAUUUAGUUUGCAAAUUUUGUUUAAAAAUUUAAUCUCCCUAAUAUUAUCCUUUUUCUUUUCUUUGAUUGGAGAAAGUGAAAGGAACAAGUUAGUGCAAUAUAUAUUGUACUUGUAAACGAUUGGCACUUGCAUAACACCUGUUUUUAAAGAUUUUGGAGUGUUAAAAUUAAGGAAACUUUAACGAAAAGCUCUUGGUACUGUUCACUUUAAUGACAAUUGGUACUUGCAUAACACAUGUCUUUGAAGAAUUUUGAGUGUUAAAAUUAGGGAACUUUAACGAAAAGCUCCCGGUACUGUUCACUUUAACGAAAAACCACAUUUUUACACUAAAAAGUCAAUCAUAGUACUAUUCACUUUACCCUUUAUUUUGUCAUUUUCGUUAAAACUCAAAGUUUUCAAGCCAUUUUCAUUAGUUUUCCUUAAAAUUAAAGAUACAUUGUGGAGCAAAAACUAAUCCCAAAAAUCAUGGAGCUAACACGUGGAUUAUUUCCCAAGAAAGACAAGACUGCCCCUAUUAAAUGAAUAGGGAGCAUCAUCAUUCACCACAACCACCUGAGGUAGAGCAGGUAGAGAUCAACGAUUGCUCAAGGCACCCUUUCCCGUAGGAAAAGUCAAAGGUAUUUAUGAUAGAAUAAUCCCUUAUUCUUAUCAUAAAUACAUUCUAAUUAGAGAAGACAUCUUUCAAGUAAGUUAUUCUAAUUCCAUUUAUUUAGGAUAUUUACCUAUAAUUACUCCAAGUUAUUUAUUUAUACAAAUAUCUUGGAAUAUUCUCACCUAAAAUACCACAUAGGGCCGGUUACCCCUAAACCCUAAAUGGCCGACCCAUCUCAUCCUUUUUCUCCUACAACUCGACGAGCCCUACCUCGCAAGUCGAGGACUAUCCAGUUGUUAUGUAGUUUCUACCUUUCAGCUAAGUUCGAUAUCAUUCCUCUCAUUUUUCAAUGAAGAUUCCCGAAGUUAUUCAUCACUUGGCUUGAUCACGUAUCUGUAACAAUUGUCUACUUCUGCUCUCAUUGAAGAUCUCGCCCAAUCAGGGACUUAUCUAAAAAUUAUGCCUCAUAGGGACCAAUCUUGCUCUCCCCCUGGGAGAGGGAUCCAGAUGUGGAUGGGUUAGGCUGCCUUGGUGUAACUAGACCACGAUGGCCUGCGCCGUCAUCCUUAAAAGUAGCCACAAUGGUCUUUUUCAAGGCUUAGCUAGAUUUGAAGAACUUUAGGCCUUUACCUUGAUACGUGAGGACCCGGGCCUUAGAGACGGAGGAUGCACGCUGUGUACCUCGGCCUUUGGACGGUUGCCCACGAAGAUGGACCGCAGUUAAGCAUCCGUGCUAUGACCAGCUGCUGGCAAUCCUGGCUGAGCAUUCUGUAUGUGACCAACUAGUGAUCUUCAUGUUACAGAAUAGUAUUCCCUCUACCCGUUAGAGGAACAUCCUUUUUGAGCAUCCGUAAUGUGACCAACUAGCAUUCGCAUCUGAGCAUCAUCGAUGCUAUACAUAGGUGAUCUCUGCCAGGAUACAUAAUUUUAGCUCCGGCUACACGCAUGAGGUGCACAUGGUUGAGCAUCCUUGAUGUGACCAACUAGCGCAGAUGCACUGCCUAGCGCAGAAGAACCCUUUGGGUUUACAUUGAUUCUUAAAGAGCUAUGCUACUUGUUACGCAGCCUACGUAAUUGGUUUCAUAAAGUGCAAAAAGUUCUUUUGAAACACUGCCCUUGAAAUUCCAUAAAACCAUGCACUUUUGAUGCGAAAGGUUAACGAAUUUCGUGUCUUGGCAAUCUUUAUUAUUUGUGAUGUAGGCCAUGCAGCUCAAAUGAUUAGAGAAAUGACGACCAACUACAUAGUCUAUGGUUAGGUGGCAACAACGCGAGAUAAAGCUCAAUAGUUCAACGUCCUAGAAGAUUAAAUUUAACAACCGAGCAGUUAUGCAGACUCGCUUGCUUCUAUGAGUAAGGUGCUAGGUUGUUGACUUUCUGGUUAAUAGCUUUGUAGAGGUCAUAAGCCUAGAUCUGCAGUCACAUAGGUCAUGCAAGUCUGUCUGCUUAUUAAAAAUAGCACGCUUUGCUAACGUCCUUGUAACUAAAGAUCUAGUGGACCACUGAUACGAAACAUGCAACUACGGAGGUCACUCAGCCUUGCAAGUUAGAAGUUUCAAAAGAUGCCUCAAGCAAACGAAGAUUCGCACCUGAUAACCCGAAGUUGACACCUAAAGCAAUGAAGAUGGGCUUGAUUGCUUUGUUCAAAGCAGCCUGCUCGAUUGUUCAUUUUAUGACAAAAGCUUGAAGCAAGGCAAAAAGACAUGGAUGAAGUAAAGCGAAGACAAACAGUUUACUAAUUUCUAGUAAAUUAGUAAACUAGCACGAAGCCUAACAAAGUUCAAGCAAAGGAAAAAGCAAAGCAAGAAUGUAAAUCGUAAAGUUUAUCUAAUAUGAAUACUUCUCAGCAGUUUAGACAUCUUCAGUAGCCGCAUCGCUCUCAGCAGCAUCAACUUCCCGCGCUUCACCUAUAACUGCCUCAUCUCAGGCAACACUGUCAUUAGCCGCCCCUACCUAGGUGACACCACCUUCGACCAUACCUACCUGGGUAGCCUAAUUCUCAGCUACUCCACCAACGGCGCUCUCGAAGGAAAACUCUAGCAGAUCCGCGAAAGAAAUAACAAAAAGCUCGAGGUCCUUAUUAGAGAAGGCGUAGUCAGACGACAUGCCAAUGAAAUGAUUAAUAAAGCCAAGCUUGUAGAAGUCAGCUUGACCUUAGGCAAAGACAACCUCAAAACUAGACUUCUCGCUGCUCAGCUGCUUAUUCUCCUCAAUUAGGUCAGUAUGAGCAUUGUACAACUCGUCUAGUUCCUUUUUCAGGUUCUCGCUGGCAGACAACGCUCAUUAUAGCUCCACUUCCUUGGACUCAAGUCUACUGAUGGCUUUCUUAAGUCAAACAAUGUCAUUAUGCAUGGCGAGCAGCUCUAUAUCCUUGGCAUCACGGGCAUACCGAAAUUCUGAAAUGACACGUUUAAAGUCAUGCAUUAGCAACGCCUGGACUUUAAUCUCCUUCUCUGCAAUGGCAUACUUCUCUCGGAUCACGUCAAGCUAAGUCUUCAAGUCACUGAUCUCUUGGCGAGUGGCCUCAAGCUGUUGAGCAAUGGGGGCAGAGACAUCAGAUCCCUUCAAAAAUGCAAAUUCAGACUCUAACUCUUUAAUUUUGUCAGCAGUCGAUCUUGGCUGCCGCUAUUUCCUUAGUAGUUGUGGCAUCAUCCUGCUCCAUAUGAGUGUACUCGGUUGCUAAGAUCACAUAUUUCUGCAUCAUAACAUGCAUGGAACCUCUUCAAGACUAAGCCUCACACCUCGCAAAUAAACUUGAGUUGACAACUUUGCUCACGCCAUCAACAAACUUGGCGCAUGCUUUCGUAUCCUCAAGCAUAUUGGGCUUCAACAGUACAUGGAUCUAUAAAAACUCUCCUAAGGCUAGUUUGGCAAGCUGAUCAUAGUUUCUCAUGUGGAUAGGCGAUUCAUUCUCAACAAGAGGGGGCGGCCCUGACAUCGCCUUGGCAGUAGAAUCAUCAUCCUCACUCUACGUCCACGUACCUCCAGAAUCGGAUUAGACUUGGGCACGGAAGGUUGUCUCAAAAUAAAACCAGGCACAUGGGGCACGGCAGAACUCAUCUGUUGCGUAAUCCUGUUAGUAACUGUUUUAGCAACCCUCGGAGCAGCUGGCUUCACAGGCUCAGAUCCAACAGCCUCUUUCUUCCCAUUUGAAGAAGUCAAGUCAAUCACGAGCCUCCCAGCAGUGGACAAACCUUCGUGAGCAGCAAAGGAAGUCUUCGACUUUUUCUCCACCAAUGGCUCUCGAGUAGGUGAUAAAGAUAUCUUUCUCUCGCAUUCGCUUGCAGCAGGCUCCAUAGUGGCGAUCGAACUAGGAAACGCCUCACCCUUGAUCCUUCUAAUAUCUUCUAAUGAGGGCAUCCCACCUUUCUCCCAAUGAAGAGGAUUGAGCAGCCAAUGCCACUCGCAGUAUUUAGUAGGGAUCCCAAGACGAUGUUCACCUUCUUCAUGUCUGGAGAUGUCUUGGGAGUUGAACCGAAUUCUAAAUCUACAUAAACAAAAAAGGACAAAUCACAAGGCAGCUCAACAAAAGUAUAAAGCAGCUUACUUACCAUCGAUGAAAGCAAUCGAAACGCGCAGCCUAAGCGAGGAAUCAGAUUCCCACUCUCCGCUGAUCUUUAAGGUCUCUCUAUACCAGUUAUGAUCCCCUUUGCUCGAGUGAUCGAAGAGCCUAUGACGGAUCAUCAGCUGCCCAACUCCAUCAAUGUGGCCUAUGUCAAAGAAGUACCAAACCUCGUUGGCAGUCAGGUCAAAGUUAGAGAACCUGCUUAAGUUAUGGAACCCCACCAUCACAUGGACAAUGUUCAGAUAGCACUAAGGAGCACUUCAUAGAGCCGAUCACCACUUGGAAGAAUCGAGGCAUAGGAAAGGUGAACCCCAACACGAAGUAGUAAUGGUGAAACUUGAUAGCUUUCCUAGAGCCACACGAUUCACGGUUGUUACCAUCUUUGACCCGCUUCACACGAACCCCAAACGGAAUUGCGUGCUUAAACAUCUCAAGGAAGUCUUUGAACUGCUUAUUGGAACUUACCUUGACAUCAGCAGCCCUAAAGUAGCCCAGCUUACUUGCAAAUCUGCCUUGAUGAUACAAUGGCGGAAGAAAUUCAUCAUUCUUGUGGCUCAACGAAGACAUGUUUAAAAAUCCUACAACCCUGCAAGGAAAAAUUAUUAGAAGGCUGCUACAAAAAAAUAGAAAAAAGGGCCGCAGAACCCAGUGCCUUGCACCAAGCUCCACGACUUAACCCUCACGGUGCAGCAGCAGGAAGCCCAGCCCACGCUGGCUCCCCCGUCUCUCUCUCUGCCCAGCAGGCCCUUACGGCAUAAACCAACAUGAGGCAGGCGCCUCUGCGCCUCCCUUUCUCUUUCUUUCUCUCUUUCUUUCUCUCUCUCUCUCUCGUCUUUCUCAUGCUGCACAGGCCCGAGCCCAUAACCCAGGUCCACGUGACCCAACACUGACUUCCUUAGCCUAGCCAGCUGAGCAACGCCAUACCGCAGCCAAGUUGCCACACAGCAAUCACCCUGCCAUGCAACAGCCUAGCUGCCAUGGUAGUAGCACAGCAGCUCAUCGGCUGCCACUUUUCACUACUCCUCGACCCCCGUUGAGCAAAAAAAUUCAAACCCCAAGGCUCCAAAAAAUUAAGAAGAAGGAGAAAAUUAUUUUGUUCUUACCUUGGAAAAGAAGAAAACCAACGUAACACAAUUCUUUGCACGGGCAAGCGAAGAAGAUUGCUAGGGGAAGUGGAACAAAUAUCCUCUGGCUUUCUCUCUUUCUUGUGGGGUUUUAAUUGCCCUCCAAAUUUAUUUAAUCCCUUGCUUGACAUAGACUUAAAUUGGUUUUUGUGGCAAUUACAUUCCCUUUCCUAGAAGAAUUUAAAUUCCAAGUCAAAAAGGGAAUCUACAUCAAAUUGGGACACAUACUCCAUUGCGGCUUUGGAUUCCUACACCUCCUGCCUUUUCCUGCAAGCAACCCAGCAGGUGUGGGGGCAUUUGUGGAGCCAAAAAUAAUCUCAAAAAUCAUGGAGCUAACGAGUGGAUUAUUUCCCAAGAAAGAUAAGACUGCCCAUGUUAAAUGAGCAAGAAGCAGCCUCAUUCACCAUGCGCAGUUGAGGUAAAGCAGGCAGAGAUCAACGACUGCUCAAAGCACCCAUGCCCGUAGGAAAAGUCAAAGGUAUUUAUGACAGAAUAAUCCCUUAUUCUUAUCAUAAAUACAUUCUAAUAAGAGAAGACCUCUUUCAAGUAAGUUAUCCUAAUUCCAUUUAAAGGUAUUCAUCAAUUUCUCCCCUGAACUUGUGACUAUUGGCCAAUUUCCCCCCACAACUUUAAUUUUGGCCAAUUCCCCCCUCAACUCUCAUAAUUAGUUAAUUUUCCCCUCAACUUUAAUUUGGCCAAUUUCCCCCCUCUCAAAUAGUCAUUGCAAAUACGUUAAUUUUUUUAAUUUGAUAUAUUAAACAAUUGUGUAAGAAACUAAAUAAGAUGUAUGUUAAUAUUUCCCUAUGCUUUAUCUAUUACAAAUAGAUUAAAAUUAGAAUUUACAAUUAUCAUAAUAGUAUUAUUAGUCAUAAUAAACAGUAUGGAGUAUUUUAUCUGAUUUUUACUAUACAAAAUGAUAACGAAAAGGAUUGAUGUGUACAUUUUGUAUGUGAAUACAAGUCUUUAUAAGAGUGAAAGUAAGUUCAAGUAAAUUGCGGAGAAUCGAGCUUAGUGCAAAAAUGGCUAUCAAUUCUAUUUUCGCUCCUAUUAAAAUACCAUUUAUGAAAUAGGUCUGAUCCAUGAGUUGGGAUUAUUUCUUCUUCUACAUGCUUUAAACCCGAUUCAUACUUUUCUUAAUCACCCAUACAAUCUAAUGUUAUGUUUUUGUACAUUUACCCCAUAUAUGCCGAGUUUAUGUUAUUUGUAUUGUUGAAGUUAUAGAAAUGUAAAAGAAAAAAAAAAGAUGGAAUUAAAAAAAACUUAACAGUAGGGUGCAAAUUGACUAAUUAUGGAGUUGAGGGGGGAAAUUGGCCAAAUUAAAGUUGAGGGGGGAAAUUAACUAAUUAUGAGAGUUGAAGGGGGAAAUUGGCCAAAAUUAAAGUUGAGGGGGGAAAUUGGCCAAUGGUCACAAGUUUAGAAGGAGAAUUGAUGAAUACCUCUUCCAUUUAUUUAAGAUAUUUCCCUAUAAUUACUCCAAGAUAUUUAAUUACACAAAUAUUUUGGAAUAUUCUCACCUAAAAUAUCACGUAGGGUCGGCCACCCCUAAACCCUAGAGGGCCGGCCCAUCUCCUCAUUUUCUCCUAUAAAUACUCCAUUUAUCUCCAAAAUUCAGUAAGUUUUAGCUACCCCUAAAGAGGCUUUUUCCUUCCCACAAACACUCAAAUACAUUCUUUACAUAAUUCUAACUUUGGCAUUGGAGAUUCUUCAACCAAAGCCCCCAUAUUCAUCGUGGGCGUGUGAGGCUUUUGACCAUAAUCUUAGGUGUUAUUAUUUUGUAAGUGCAGAUGCGUCAAUCAAAGAAUGACGAAAAUUUGCAUCCACAUACAUUUUUACGUAAAUGUUUCAUUCAUCACGUGAAACAACAUAACCUCUCAUUUUACAUAACCGAUUGAUGCCCGUUUUACUCUUGUAGUAACUGUAAGUACUAGAAUCAGAUUGACAAAAAAUGGAACUAUAGUUACUAGAAUCAGAUUGACAAAAAAAUGCAAACGCCACUAAUGGAUGGGUGGAGUGGAGGUGGAAAAAAAUUUAGUAUGCCAGAAACAUGAUACGAUACAUCAAGUGUAGAACAUGUACUUAAAGAAAAAAGAAAAACGCCAUUAAUGGGUGGGUGGGUGUUGGGGUAGUUAGGCAUUUGGUUUGGGCAAUGUUAAUUGCCAGGCGGCAACCAUGUACAAUAUGUACUAGACAGAAGAAUCGAACGUAUUGAAUGUGUUUGUACCAUACUUGACCAAUCCCGAAACUACUGAGCACCGGUCAACGUUAUACUGUCAAGGAACCAUAAGAGUUUCCCUCCAACAAGGAGGCCAAUCACAGCGCGACACGUGCAGACAUCAGAAGCCAAUCAUAACUCGACACAUGUCAACAUCAGAAGCCAAUCACAACACGACACGUGUCAAUGUGAGAAUGAAACUAGAAACUCUCUUCUAUAAAUAGAGAUCAUUCUCUCACAAUAUUUCCUAAUGUCAUUUGUACUAAAUCAUUCACUAGUACUCACUAAAGGAGAGCUUGAACCUAUGUACUUGUGUAAUCCCUUCAUAAUUAAUGAGAACUCCUCUACUCCGUGGACGUAGCCAAUCUGGGUGAACCACGUACAUCUUGUGUUUGCUUCCCUGUCCCUAUCCAUUUACAUACUUAUCCACACUAGUGACCGGAGCAAUCUAGCGAAGGUCACAAACUUAACACUUUCUGUUGUACCAAAGUCUUCACUGAUUUUGUGCAUCAACAUUUGGCGCCGUCUGCGGGAACGACACUUAUUCCCACUCUCUUCAGCUUUGUCAAGCUGGUUUCCACCAUUCGUACACUGUCUUUUGACCAGGAAUCUCUCUCCAACAUGAGGAACGAAGGAAGCAACAGCACACAGAAUGACACCUCUCUUGCACCUAGUGCGAAGCAACAAAAGAAUGAAGGAAAGAGGGUUGCUUUUCAAGCUAAAGUCGAUGAGCUAGAAUCUCAAAACAACAAGAUAGCAAUGAAGAAUGAGGUCCUCCAGGAACAGUAUGAGAAGCUCUUUGAGAUGCUCCUCGAAACUAGGUGUACUCAAACACGCGAACUCGUUACCCCUGUGAACAUCAACCAUCAUCUGGACGCCUCCCAACAAGGAGGGUCACCUUCCUUCGACAUGGGUAUCCCUAAUAAUGAGCGAGCUAAUCAUCAAAACAUUGAUCAACAUGAGAUUCUCUCAACCCAGCUGCUUCGACCCGAAGUAGGAGAAGUGGAGGAAGAUACCUCUUUGCAGAAGGGUUGGAAUGAUCGAAGGCCCUUUAUCGUGACUGCCGAGACUUCCUAAAGCAACGUCGAGAGAAUCCCCUCCACAUAUGCUUGAAGAUCAAUGACCCAAGGGUUUCUGAAAGACUCGAUCCCCUCCCACGACCCAGGCCAGCUGCCAAUCUAGGGAAGGAACGACAUGUCCUAGAGGAACAUAAAGGUACAAGGGACUCUGAGGUAUUCUGACAGACUCGCCCUAGAAGUCAGUACGGCGAGUCCAAGGAAAAAUCACACUCCUUUGCUCAAACUUUCCUACUUCCAAGAGGCGAUGGAGACUUACGAAAGAAAAUCUCAGUGGUACAUGACUCCACUCAAGACCCCCUUGUCCUACAGCUCCUUGAAGAAGUAAACAAGUUGAAGGCCGAACGUCAGGCCGAGAUACCUGACUGGAACCAACCCAGGCCUGGCCCUCUCACAAGGAGGAUCCUCGACGCCCCCUUCAAGCGAAGACAAAACAAAAGCUUGGUUUACAACUCUAUACUGGAAGGGAGGACCCAAUUGAACACCUUAACCUCUUUGAGUCCACCAUGGCAUAUCGGAUGCACACCGACGAAGAUCGAUGUCUUCUCUUCCCCUCCACCCUCUCUAGUAGAGCUCUAAAUUGGUAUUUCCGUCUUCCACCUGAGACAGUAGACUUAUUUGAAAAACUGAGGAAACUGUUUGUCUCUCAACACAUCUUCCAGACCGAUCGCUUGCAUUCUACAGAUGACUUGUACACUAUUCGCCAGAAGCCAGAUGAGUCACUACGAGAGUAUGCUGGUCGUUUCAACCAUGAGUAUUCUCGCUGCGCUGAGGCAGAUGACAAGACCGCUCUCAAGGCCUUCACGGCAGGCCUACGUGAUUGUUUCUUCAAGUACAUGAUCAAUGCCAACACUUGGAAGAUUUACUUUGAGGUGAUGGCACAGGCUUACAAUCAUGCCUCCGCUGAGGCAAAGACAUAUCAAGGAAAACCCCCCACAACCACCCCUUAUCAGCAAGUAGGGAAUGGAAGCCAGAUCCAACCAAAUAAGAAGACAUCGACCUUCCAAACGGCAGCGGUGCCUCCCCCUGCCUUACUUAAUACUUUGCCAAUCAACAACAUAUCAAUCUCAGGGCAAAAGGAAAGAUUUCCAUCCUCACCAGUCUCAUUUUAGUAAAAGGAGUAAGGGACACUACCGCGAUAACCAAGGGUAUCGCCAUGAUAAUCCCCGACCCCAGGCAAUCAACACAGUGGGUCAAGCACGUGUCAGGACAACCCCUACCCCGAGGUAUGAGGUAUACACACCUUUGAAUGCCACAUGCGUGGCCAUUUACCCCAGCAUAGCACACUUGAUACCGAAGCCAAAGCCGAGGCACCCGGAUUACAAGCCCACGAAGAACACGGGCAUGUUUUGCUGCUACCAUGAGCAUAACGGCCAUGAUGGCGAAAAAUGUAUCACCCUUUGUGAUCAUAUUGAAGCUUUGGCACGUGAAGGAAAAAUUGAUGAAUUCCUCAUUCACCCUCCAAGGGGUAACCGUAACCAACGCCAGGUAAAUGUGAUAUAUUCCAUAAGUGGUGGCACAACCAUAUCUAAAUCUUCCAACAUGGCCAUGAAAAAUAGUGAACGAGCUUUAAGGUCUGGCCACCAAGUGUUUCACGUGGAAGACAUCAGGGGAGGUAAGUAUCAAAAGCCUAACUAGGAUCCAAUAUGUUUCUACCCUGAGGAAGAAAGAUGUAUUAUCUACCCUCACAACGACCCACUGAUCGUGGAAGCUCACAUAGCCAACUUUGAAGUACGACGAAUCCUGGUAGACAUGGCGGUUUCGGUUAAUAUCAUGUUUGCUGAAGCUUUCAGGGCACUUAAUGUAGCUGAACACUUGCUCGACCGCUCGAUUUCCCCUCUAAUAAGCUUCUCCGGUGAUAUUGUGCAACCUUUGGGGAGCAUACACUUACCUUUCACCAUUGGUACAUGCCCUUACACAGCUACCAUGACCACUAACUUCCUUGUGGUUGAUUGCCCAACGGCAUACAAUGUCAUUUUGGGACGCACAGGCAUCAAUGAUCUCAAGGCCAUGGUAUCCACACAUAUGUUGUUGAUGAAAUUUCCAACCCCCUAUGGCAAUGGUUACAUCAGAGGAUAUCAACUUAGUGCACGAUCAUGUUACAACACUUCAGUCAAGCAACAGCACAUGUCUGUGCCCAAGGAAACCCUUUCUAUACAUGACCAAGUCAUAAAGACCAGCCCAGACGAAGCCAACUUGGAUCUUCACGGUGGUAACAGUCAACCCGACGAUCCUCGAGAUGACUCUUUCACCCAGCAAGCAACCCGCUGAAGAGUUGGAGAAGGUCUCUAUCUCAAAAGAUUAUCCGGAUCGCAUGGUGAAAGAUUGGUACCACCUUGUCACCACCAUUCGGUUGGUAUUGAUCUUUUUUUUGCAAGAGAACACUGGGUCUUCGCCUGGUCAUACGAGGACAUUGCCAGGCAUCUCUCCCGAUAUAAUCUGUCAUCGCUUAAGUAUUGACCCCAAGACCAAAGCCAGUGAGACAGAAGCGAAGAUCUUAUGACGUUGAACGGUACGAGGCAAUGAAGCAGAAGUUGAAAAACUCAAAGGCAUAGGCUUUGUCCCGUGAAGUCAAUUACCCAACGUGGGUAGCAAAUGUUGUCCUUGUUAAGAAGAAUCCGACCAAGGAAAAUUCCUGCUCAAAAGGUCUUGUGGAGAAUGUGUGUCGAUUACACCGACUUAAACAAAGGAUGCCCGAAAGAUAGCUUUCCUCUUCCUUAUAGACAGACUUAUAGACUCUACGGCAGGGUGUGAACUCCUGAGCUUCAUGGAUGUUACUCAGAUACAACCAAUCCUCAUGAACCCUCCAGACAAGAACACACAACCUUCACUACUGACAAGGGACUAUAUUGCUAUAAAGUCAUGCUUUCGGCCUAAAGAAUGCAGGAGCGACUUAUCAGAGAUUGGUCAAUUCAAUGUUCGCCGAACAGAUUGGGAAGAGCAUGGAAGUUUACGUUGAUGAUAUGCUAGUCAAGAGAAAACUGCUGACCAACACAUCACCAACCUAUUGAAACUUUCACCCAUUCUGAAGAGGUAUCGAAUGAGGUUGAACCCAACAAAUGUGCCUUCAGCGUAGGCCUGGCAAAUUCUUAGGCUUCAUGAUAAGCAACGAGGCAUUAAGGCUAAUCCCGAGAAGAUCAAGCAAUCAUCGACAUGAAGGAACCGGUACUUCAAAAGACAUCCAGAGCUUACUGGCAAGGUGGCAGCCUUAACUAGGUUCAUCUCUAAGGCCACAACAGAUGUGCUCAUUUCUUCAAAGCACUUAAGGGAAGUAAGAAGUACAUUUACAUGGAUUGAUGAAUGUGCUGAGGCAUUCAAGACCUCAAAGACUACAUGAGUAAAGCCCCUUUGCUCUCCAAAACUGAGGUGGUGACACUCUCAUUAUCUAUCUGUCGGUAUCGGCUUCAACAGUAAGUUCCGUUCUCAUUCGAAAUGAUGGUAAUUCGAACGACAUGUUUACUACGCUAGUAAGGCCUUACAAGAUGUGGAGACACGACUCCAACAUGAGAAAUUGGCUCUAGCAUUGGUCAUGUCUGCUCGAAAUUCGCCCUUACUUCAAGCACACUCCAUCAUCGUGCCUACCAAUCAUCAUCUUUGACAAAUACUCCAAAGUCCUGACAUUCGGGCGAAUGAUCAAAUGGGCGAUAGCAUUGGGUGAGUUUGACAUCUCCACCAACCAAAGCCAGCUGAGAAGGCCAAGCAGUGGCAGACUUCAUCGCCAACUUACAAUAUCCUGUUGACAUUGUUUCUACGCCUAAAGAAGUGGUUUCAUUACCUUGGAAGCUCAGAAAAUAAACCAACAGCCUCAGCAUGGAGUCUAUAUGUUGAUGGCUCGUCCAACCAAUAGGGUUAUGGAGCAGGACUAGUCCUUACGACCCCUGACAAAGUGGAGAUGGAGUAUGCUUUCGUUUCAAAUUCAAGGCGUCAACAAUGAGGCCGAAUAUGAAGCUCCUAGCAGGCUUACGUUUGGCCAAACACCUUGGGUUUAAACGAAUUGAUAUCUUCAGGACUCCCAUUGGUGUUAACCAGGUUACCAACAACUUUGACCUAGGAUAGCUCCAUGGCAGCCUAUCUGGCACAAAACACAAUUGUUGCUUAAGCACUUCCAUCCAGAUCACCAAAUUCCUUCGAGCGGCAAACAGUCAUGCAGAUGCUUUGGCUCGCUCGCCUCAGCGUGGAAGACAAGAUUGGGAGAAAAAAAUUCAGGUCGAAUUGUUGAGCACCAAACACCAUGCUGCGGAAGUGUGCAACUUACAACAAGGGGAUAGUUGGAUUACCCGAUUUAUAGAUUCCUUGCUCAUGGCACCCUUCCAAAUGACAAAGUCCAAGCUAAGCAGAUUCGAUAAAGGCUACCGUACUUGUCAUUAAUNCCCAAUUGAACACCUUAACCUCUUGAGUCCACAUGGCAUAUCGGAUGCACACGACGAAGAUCGAUGUCUUCUCUUCCUCCACCCUCUCUAGAAGCUCUAAAUUGGUAUUUCCGUCUUCCACCUGAGACAGUAGACUUAUUUGAAAAACUGAGGAAACUGUUUGUCUCUCAACACAUCUUUCCAGACCGAUCGCUGCAUUCUACGAUGACUUGUACACUAUUGCCAGAGCCAGAUGAGUCACACGAGAGUAUCUGGUCGUAUUCAACCAUGAGUAUUCUCGCUGCUGAGGCGAUGACAAGACCGCUUCAAGGCUUCACGGCAGGCCUACGUGAUUGUUUCUCAAGUACAUGAUCAAUGCCAACACUUGGAAGAUUUACUUUGAGGUGAUGGCACUUCAAUCAUGCCUCCGCUGAGGCAAAGACAUAUCAAGGAAAACCCCCACAACCCACCUUAUCAGCAAGUAGGGAAUGGAAGCCAGAUCCAACCAAAUAAGAAGACAUCGACCUUCCAAACGGCAGCGGUGCCUCCCCCUGCCUUACUUAAUACUUUGCCAAGUCAAUACAUCUCAGGGCAAAAGGAAAGAUUUCCAUCCUCACCAGUCUCAUUUUAGUAAAAGGAUAAGGGGACACUACCGCGAUAACCAAGGUAUCGCCAUGAUAUCCCCGACCCCAGGCAAUCAACACAGUGGGUCAAGCACGUGUCAGGACAACCCCUACCCGAGGUAUGAGGUAUAUACACACUUUGAAUGCCACAUGCGUGCCAUUUACCCCAGCAUAGCACACUUGAUACCGAAGCCAAAGCCGAGGCACCCGGAUUACAAGCCCACGAAGAACACGGGCAUGUUUUGCUGCUACCAUGAGCAUAACGGCCAUGAUGGCGAAAAAUGUAUCACCCUUUGUGAUCAUAUUGAAGCUUUGGCACGUGAAGGAAAAAUUGAUGAAUUCCUCAUUCACCCUCCAAGGGGUAACCGUAACCAACGCCAGGUAAUGUGAUAUAUUCAUAGUGGUGGCACAACCAUAUCUAAAUCUUCCAACAUGGCCAUGAAAAAUAGUGAACGAGCUUUAAGGUCUGGCCACCAAGUGUUUCACGUGGAAGACAUUAGGGGAGGUAAGUAUCAAAAGCCUAACUAGGAUCCAAUAUGUUUCUACCCUGAGGAAGAAAGAUGUAUUAUCUACCCUCACAACGACCCACUGAUCGUGGAAGCUCACAUAGCCAACUUUGAAGUACGACGAAUCCUGGUAGACAUGGCGGUUUCGGUUAAUAUCAUGUUUGCUGAAGCUUUCAGGGCACUUAAUGUAGCUGAACACUUGCUCGACCGCUCGAUUUCCCCUCUAAUAAGCUUCUCCGGUGAUAUUGUGCAACCUUUGGGGAGCAUACACUUACCUUUCACCAUUGGUACAUGCCCCUUACACAGCUACCAUGACCACUAACUUCCUUGUGGUUGAUUGCCCAACGGCAUACAAUGUCAUUUUGGGACGCACAGGCAUCAAUGAUCUCAAGGCCAUGGUAUCCACACAUAUGUUGUUGAUGAAAUUUCCAACCCCCUAUGGCAAUGGUUACAUCAGAGGAUAUCAACUUAGUGCACGAUCAUGUUACAACACUUCAGUCAAGCAACAGCACAAUGUCUGUGCCCAAGGAAACCCUUUCUAUACAUGACCAAGUCAUAAAGACCAGCCCAGACGAAGCCAACUUGGAUCUUCACGGUGGUAACAGUCAACCCGACGAUCCUCAAGAUGACUCUUUCACCUAGCAAGCGUAACCCGCUGAAGAGUUGGAGAAGGUCUCUAUCUCAAAAGAUUAUCCGAAUCGCAUGGUGAAGAUUGGUACCACCUUGUCACCACCCAUUCGGUUGGUAUUGAUCUUUUUUUUGCAAGAGAACACUGAGGUCUUCGCCUGGUCAUACGAGGACAUGCCAGGCAUCUCUCCCGAUAUAAUCUGUCAUUGCUUAAGUAUUGACCCCAAGACCAAGCCAAUAAGAUAGAAGCGAAGAUCUUAUGACGUUGAACGGUACGAGGCAAUGAAGGCAGAAGUUGAAAAACUCAAAGGCAUAGGCUUUGUCCGUGAAGUCAAUUACCCAACGUGGGUAGCAAAUGUUGUCCUUGUUAAGAAGAAUCCGACCAAGGAAAAUCUCUUGCUGCAAAAGGUCUUGUGGAGAAUGUGUGUCGAUUACACCGACUUAAACAAAGGAUGCCCGAAAGAUAGCUUUCCUCUUCCUUUCAUAGACAGACUUAUAGACUCUACGGCAGGGUGUGAACUCCUGAGCUUCAUGGAUGCUUACUCAAGAUACAACCAAAUCCUCAUGAACCCUCCAGACCAAGAACACACAACCUUCACUACUGACAAGGGACUAUAUUGCUAUAAAGUCAUGCCCUUCGGCCUAAAGAAUGCAGGAGCGACUUAUCAGAGAUUGGUCAAUUCAAUGUUCGCCGAACAGAUUGGGAAGAGCAUGGAAGUUUACGUUGAUGAUAUGCUAGUCAAGAGAAAACAUGCUGACCAACACAUCACCAACCUAUCUGAAACUUUCACCAUUCUGAAGAGGUAUCGAAUGAGGUUGAACCCCAACAAAUGUGCCUUCAGCGUAGGCUCUGGCAAAUUCUUAGGCUUCAUGAUAAGCCAGCGAGGCAUUAAGGCUAAUCCCGAGAAGAUCAAAGCAAUCAUCGACAUGAAGGAACCGGUUACUUCAAAAGACAUCCAGAGCCUUACUGGCAAGGUGGCAGCCUUAACUAGGUUCAUCUCUAAGGCCACCAACAGAUGUGCUCAUUUCUUCAAAGCACUUAAGGGAAGUAAAAAGUACAUUACAUGGAUUGAUGAAUGUGCUGAGGCAUUCAAGAACCUCAAAGACUACAUGAGUAAAGCCCCUUUGCUCUCCAAACCUGAGGUUGGUGACACUCUCAUUAUCUAUCUGUCGGUAUCGGCUUCAACAGUAAGUUCCGUUCUCAUUCGAAAUGAUGGUAAUGUCGAACGACAUGUUUACUACGCUAGCAAGGCCUUACAAGAUGUGGAGACACGAUACUCCAACAUUGAGAAAUUGGCUCUAGCAUUGGUCAUGUCUGCUCGAAAACUUCGCCCUUACUUCCAAGCACACUCCAUCAUCGUGCUUACCAAUCAUCAUCUUUGACAAAUACUCCAAAGUCCUGACACUUCCGGGCGAAUGAUCAAAUGGGCGAUAGCAUUGGGUGAGUUUGACAUCUCCUACCAACCAAAGCCAGCUGAGAAGGGCCAAGCAGUGGCAGACUUCAUUGCCAACUUUACAUAUCCUGUUGACAUUGUUUCUACGCCUAAAGAAGUGGUUUCAUUACCCUUGGAAGCUCAGAAAAUAGAACGAACAGCCUCAGCAUGGAGUCUAUAUGUUGAUGGCUUGUCCAACCAAUAGGGUUAUGGAGCAGGACUAGUCCUUACGACCCCUGACAAAGUGGAGAUGGAGUAUGCUCUUCGUUUCAAAUUCAAGGCGUCGAACAAUGAGGCCGAAUAUAAAGCCCUCCUAGCAGGCUUACGUUUGGCCAAACACCUUGGGGUUAAACGAAUUGAUAUCUUCAGUGACUCCCAAUUGGUGGUUAACCAGGUUACCAACAACUUUGACGCUAAGGAUAGCUCCAUGGCAGCCUAUCUGGCACAAACACAAUUGUUGCUUAAGCACUUCCACUACCAGAUCACCCAAAUUCCUCGAGCGGCAAACAGUCAUGCAGAUGCUUUGGCUCGCCUCGCCUCAGCAGUGGAAGACAAGAUUGGGAGAAAAAUUCAGGUCGAAUUGUUAGUAGCACCAAACACUAUGGCUGCGGAAUUGUGCAACUUACAACAAGGGGAUAGUUGGAUUACCCCGAUUUAUAGAUUCCUUGCUCAUGGCACCCUUCCAAAUGACAAAGUCCAAGCUAAGCAGAUUCGAUACAAGGCUACCCGUUACUUGAUCAUUAAUGACCAACUCUACAAACGGGGUUUUAACCUACCAUACCUAAGAUGCCUUACGCCCGCAGAGGCGGAAACUGUCAUUCGGGAAAUAUAUGAAAGAGUCUGCGGAGAUCAUGCUGGAUCUCAAUCCCUAGCACACAAGGCUUUUCGCCAAGGAUAUUACUGGCCAACACUCCACUAAGAUGCCAUCAGAAUAUUCCACUCAUGUGAUAAGUGUCAACGCUACGCAACUAUUCCUCACUCCCCUCCCGAGCCGCUCACUCCUAUGAUCAGCCCUUGGCCCAAUGGGGACUUGAUUUGAUCGGCCCAAUGCCUGCAGGGAAGGGCAAAGUUUGCUAUGUAAUCAUUGCAGUUGACUACUUCACAAAGUGGGCUGAAGUAGAACCCUUGGCAACCAUUACUGAGGCAAAAAUAGAAGACUUCGUAUGGAAUAACAUCCUUUGCAGAUUCGGCAUUCCCAAUGCGAUAGUCACUGACAACGGGCGACAAUUUGACAACAAUAAGUUCAGGAUGUUCUGCUCUAAGUUCAACAUCAACUUAUGUUUUGCCUCCCCAGCUCAUCCCCAGUCUAAUGGACAAGUUGAAGCCAUCAACAAAAUAAUCAAGCGAACUUUGAAAACCAGCUUGGACAAGGCUAAAGGUUGUUGGCCAUAAUUUGUACCCUAAGUUCUUUGGUCAUACCGCACUUCGUAUCGGACAUCAACAAGAGAAACCCCAUUCUCACUUGCCUUUGGUACAGAGGCAGUUGUCCCAGUUGAGCCUGAGCAAGCAACGUUCCAAGUCCAGAACUACAUGCAAAGCGAAAAUGACAAACAACUUACCCUCAACUUAGAUCUAGUCGAGGAACACAGAAACCAGGCUCACUUGAGGAAUGUCGCCUACAAGCAGCGCAUCUCCAACUACUAUGACUUAAGGGUCAAACCUCGUUCUUUCAAAGUGGGGGACUGGGUAUUGAAGAAAAGAUUACUCUGCAACAGAGUCCCGAGUGAAGGAACACUUAGUCCAAACUGGGAUGGACCGUUUGAAGUUGUUGGCAUCCGCCGCCUUGGCUUCUACAAGCUUAGAAACUCCGAUGGCAAGACCCUUGGCUAUCCAUGGAACGCUGAUCACUUGAAGUACUAUUACAAGUAAACUCACAUUGUACAAGUGUUAAGCUUCAGCCGUUUGGCAUCCUAUGUAACGAAGACUAUUUCACAUGAAUUCAAUAAAGAGGUGAUUUAGACAACUUGAUCCUAAUCAUCUUACAUUCCUAGCAAUGAAACACUCGGGUUCAAAGCUUCAACAUGAAUGCUUCCAACAUGAAACAAAGUCUAAGUAUAUGUCAACAAGACUAUACAAAAAAAUGAACAACUUCACAGUAUAUUCGUUCAAUCAUACACUCCAACACAUUCAUACAUAAGCCAACUGUGCUUUGAAAGGGUUUAACAUAUUUUGUGUCAUUCGACAUUUGCUACAAUGUGCCUAGACACCUUGUCUUUAUUCUCACCAACCAGGUGAUGAAAUGUGAAGAAGGAACUCAUCUUCAUGCCACCAACCAGGUGAUGAAAUGUACAACCCGUACUCUCUUUCAUGCCACCAACUAGGUGAUGAAAUGUACAACCCGUACUAUAAUAUCAUUUGGCAACUUGCCACUCAUGCCACCAACCAGGUGAUGAAAUGUACAACAUGUACUCUCCUUCAUGCCACCAAUCAGGUGAUGAAAUGUACAACCCAUACUCUAAUAUCAUUUGGUAACUGGCCACUCAUGCCACCAACCAGGUGAAAAAGGAACUCAUCUUCAUGCCACCAACGAGGUGAUGAAAUGUACAACCCGUACUCUAAUAUCAUUUGACAACUUGCCACUCAUGCCACCAACCAGGUGAUGAAAUGUACAACCCGUACUCUCCCUGAUGCCACCAACCAGGUGAUGAAAUGUACAACUCGUACUCUAAUAUCAUUUGGCAACUUGCCAUUCAUGCCACCAACCAGGUGAAGAAGGAACUCAUCCUCGUGCCACCAACCAGGUGAUGAAAUGUGAUGAAAGGUGAUGAAAGAACUCACCUUCGUACCACCAACUAAGUGAUGAAAGCAACUCACCAUUCAUUCCAUCUACCAGAAGACGAGUGGUACAACUUGUACAUGUGAACUCCUAGCAUUCACAAAUAAUAAAAAACCCUCAAGCUUGACAACUCAACUAGGGGAGCACUUAUGCCCAACAAGAGUUAUAGUCACCAACAAAGCCUUAUUGCAAGCCAAUAACAACUUCAGUGCAUGGCAUAUGAAGAUCAAGUUAUUCAGCCUUCUUGCAUCUGCUUCCAACAUUUCCCCACUGUAACAAUGCAAACACUACAACUCAUAGAAAGCUUCACGCAUUCUUGAUCAAGACAGUGUGAAGCAAAAUCAAUUUAUGGUGUCAACAAGAGCUUCAUCAAUGGAGGGUAACCACAAUUCUCAAAAGCUUCACACACUCUUGAUCAAGACAGUGUGAAGCAAAACCAAUUUAUGGUGCCAACAAGAGCUUCAUCAAUGGAGGGCAACCGCAAUUCUCAAAAGCUUCACACACUCUUGAUGAAGACAGUGUGAAGCAAAACCAAUUUAUGGUGCCAACAAAAGCUUCAUCAAAAUAGUUCUUGAUCAAGACAGUGUGAAGCAAAACCAAUUUAUGGUGCCAACAAGAGCUUCAUCAAUGGAGGGCAACCGCAAUUCUCAAAAGCUUCACACACUCUUGAUGAAGACAGUGUGAAGCAAAACCAAUUUAUGAUGCCAACAAGAGCUUCAUCAAUGGAAGGUAACCACAAUUCUCAACAGCUUCACACACUCUUGAUCAAGACAAUGUGAAGCAAAACCAAUUUAUGGUACCAACAAAAGCUUCAUCAAAAGAGUUCAACCACAAUUCUCAAAAGCUUCACACACUCUUGAUCAAGACAGUGUGAAGCAAAACCAAUUGAUGGUGCCAACAAGAGCUUCAUCAAUGGAGGGCAACCACAAUUCUCAAAAACUUCACACACUCUUGAUCAAGACAGUGUGAAGCAAAACCAAUUGAUGGUGCCAACAAGAGCUUCAUCAAUGGAGGGUAACCACAAUUCUCAAAAGUUUCACACAUUGUUGAUCAAGACAGUGUGAAGCAAAACCAAUUUAUGGUACCAAUAAAAGCUUCAUCAAAGGAGUUCAACCACAAUUCUCAAAAGCUUCACACACUCUUGAUCAAGACAGUAUGAAGCAAAACCAAUUUAUGGUGCCAACAAAAGCUUCAUCAAUUGAGAGUAACUACAAUUCUCAAACCUUCGAAGCAAAUUCAAGACUGUUCGAAGCAAAUUCAAUUUAUAUGGUUCAUCCAAACCUUCGACUACUACAAGGUGUGACUUGCAUCACAAUCUCUUGCUUAAUAGUGUGGAAGCAAAAUUUGUAUAUGUUGUCUCUCCCACAUUUUCAAAUUUCUAGUUCCAAAAAAAAAAAAAAAAAAAAAUUCAACAAAGCUUCAUCAAUGGAGGACAACUACAAAUUCUCAAAAGCUUCACACUAUCUUGACCAAGAUAGUGUGAAGCAAAAUCAAUUCAUGGUACCCAAAAAAAGCUUCACCCACAAAAGCUUCAUCAACACAAAAGCUUCACCAACAAAAGCUUCAUCAAUGGAGGACGACUACAAAUUCUCAAAAGCUUCACACUAUCUUGAUCAAGAUAGUGUGAAGCAAAAUCAAUUCAUGGUACCCAACAAAAGCUUCAACUCCAAAGCUUCACCUAUAAAGCUUCAACUCCAAAGCUUCACCUACAAAAGCUUCAACACAAAAGCUUCAUCAACACAAAAGCUUCACCAACAAAAGCUUCGUCAAUGGAGGACAACUACAAAUUCUCAAAAGCUUCACACUAUCUUGAUCAAGAUAGUGGGAAGCAAAAUCAAUUCAUGGUACCCAACAAAAGCUUCAACUCCAAAGCUUCACCUACAAAGCUUCAACUCCAAAGCUUCACCUACAAAAGCUUCAACACCAAAGCUUCAUCAACAUAAAAGCUUCACCAACAAAAGCUUCAUCAAUGGAGGACAACUACAAAUUCUCAAAAGCUUCACACUAUCUUGAUCAAGAUAUUGUGAAGCAAAAUCAAUUCAUGGUACCCAACAAAAGCUUCAACUCUAAAGCUUCACCUACAAAGCUUCAACUCCAAAGCUUCACCUACAAAAGCUUCAACACAAAAGCUUCACCCACAAAAGCUUCAACACAAAAGCUUCAUCCACAAAAGCUUGACCUACAAAAGCUUGACCCACAAAAACUUGACCUACAAAAGCUUCACCCACAAAAGCUUGACCCACAAAAGCUUGACCCACAAAAGCUUCACCUACAAAAGCUUGACGCACAAAAGCUUCACCUACAAAAGCUUGACGCACAAAAGCUUGACCUACAAAAGCUUGACCCACAAAACUUCACCCACAAAAGCUUCACCUACAAAACUUCAACACAAAAGCUUCACCUACAAAAGCUUCACACUAUCUUGAUCAAGAUAGUGUGAAGCAAAAUCAAUUCAUGGUGCCCAACAAAGCUUAACCUACAAAAGCUUGACCCACAAAAGCUUGACCCACAAAAGCUUCACCUACAAAAGCUUGACCCACAAAAGCUUGACCCACAAAAGCUUGACCCACAAAAACUUCACCUACAAAACUUCAACACAAAAGCUUCACACUAUCUUGAUCAAGAUAGUGUGAAGCAAAAUCAAAGCUUCACCUACAAAGCUUUAAAAUAUAUAUAUAUUCGGAAAUUUGAAAAUUAAAAAAUUUGGAAAUUAAAAAAUUCGAAAAUUUGAAAAGAAAAAAAAUCGAAAAAAAGAAAUUUCGAAAAAAAAAAAAUUGGCUAGGCUUCCUCUUCUUUGGGCCUAACAACUUUCAUAACAAAUAUAUAUGAAGAAGGAGUUUUGGGCUACCACUUAGAAAGGAAAUGCCUCAUUCGUCAACUCCCUCAACCGGAGACUUGGGGAACUCCUACCAUAUGCUACUGCACCUUGAUACUCGGAAGUCUCACGACCACUCAGUGACUUGGAUUUUUCAAGUCUCCAAACGAGAAGUUUUCCUCACUCGGGAAAUUAAAGGAGCACUACCUCAACCUACAUGCUUCACUCACAAAGCUUCAACAGAAGGAAAAAUUCAAAUAACUUAGUGAAGAAGGCCUUGGUGUAUUUAACACAAUACGUUGAAAUGAAGCAAAGCUUGUUUAUUGAUAUCUCCGAUAAGUUACAAAUAUGUACAUAUACAUGAAUCAAAAUAAACAAACAAGAGGGAGCCUUCACAAAGGUUGCUCAUGAGAAGUCUCAGCAGUCGGCAGAGCCCCAGAUAGAGGAGGCACCAGAGGGUGAUUAUUCGGAGCCUCAGUACUAGGCAGAACCCCAGAAGGAGGAGGCACCGAAGGUUGAUCAUUUAGAGCUUCAUUACGUGGUACAGCCCCAGAAGACGAAGGCAAUAAAUGCCUUUGGAACAAACCCACAAACCUCUGAUGAUCAAGUAAAAUCUGACCAUUAGAUUUUUGCAGCUGGUCGAGCUUCCUCUUCAUGUUUGUAGCAUAGUCAUGUGCGAGCCUGUGCAACUGUUUAUUCUCAUGCUUGAGCCCUCUGAUCUCCUGUUUGAGACUUAUCAUUUCAGCCGCCAAUGAUUCAACUUGGCAGGUUCGAGCAAAUAGGCGUUGGGCCAUAUUAGACACAUAACUUACACACUGAACACUGAGAGCCAGAGAAUCCUUAACAGCCAACUCAUCAGACCGUUUGAAAAGUAGUCUAUUAUCUUUGGGAGUGAGAAAGUUCCUGACCACCACCGCAGCAAUCAUAUCAUUCUUCAUCACAGAGUCCCCAACGGUAAGAGGACCAGUAGGGGAUAAGAAGGACGGGCGCCAUAUGUUGUCUUGAGAAGGCAUGGCUGCCUCUUCACCAAAGUUCAAGUCAAAACGACGGUCGGAUGGGCCAGACAUUCUCAGAAAUGAUGAAGGAGAAAUGAGGUGCAAUAAAUCUCUGAAAUAAGGGGAAAAUUCCUACAAACAAUAACUCUUUGAAUGUACUUCUUGCACACAAUUGGUGCCCUUAUAAAAGAAAUGGCAACAUGGCCGUUGGUUCAAAAAUCGAAGAGGCACCACUCUCCGUAUUUCGAAAAGGCACCACUUUCCACACGCAACAUCAGCUCCUCGGGUACCACAGAUAACUUUGCCAAAGAUCUCUGACAAAGUUUAGACACAUAAAUUUUGAAGGUCCAGAUACCCUACUAUUACCCACAAGGGUAAAAGAACAGCACCACUGCUUGAUAACUAGAAAGUCCCAAUGUGUGUCAACCUCCGUGCUCCGUGGCAAGGCAGCCUGGCAAAAAUGCCCAACCUUUACUCACAUUCGAGAAAACACUCCCAACAAGAUUGCUUGCUCAAAAAUCGAAGAGGAACCACUCUCCAAAUCUCGAGAGCCAGACUCUCAACAUGAUUACUUUCUCAAAAAUCGAAGAGACACUGCUCUCCGAAUCUCAAGAGUCAGACUCCCAACAGGAUUGCUUUCUCAAAAAUCGAAGAGGCACUGUUCUCUGAAUCUCGAAAGCCAGAUUCCCGACAGGAUUGCUUGUUCGAAAACCGAAAAGGCACCACUCUCUGAACUUCGAGAGCCAGAUUUCCUUGGAUAAAGCUUGUCUGUAAUCUUCACACGCAACAUCAGCUUUCCAGAUACCACAAACCACUUUUUUCAAAAUGCUCUGACAAAGUUAAAACAUGUGAAGCUUGCAGCUCCCACUACAUUGCUAUGACCAAGAAGGGUAAAGGAAUAGCAUUAUUACUUGCUCAAAAAUCGAAGAGGCACGACCCUUCAAAUCUCGAGAGCCAGACUUCCUAUAGGAUUACUUUCUCAAAAAUCGAAAAGGCACCGCUCUCCGAAUCUCAAGAGCCAGACUCCCAACAGGAUUGCUUUCUAAAAAAUCGAAGAGGCACCGCUCUCCGAAUCUCGAGAGCCAGAUCCCCGACAAGAUUGCUUGUUCGAAAACCGAAGAGGCAUUGCUCUCCGAACUUCGAGAGCCAGAUUUCCUUGGAUAAAGCUUGUCUGCAAUCUUCACACGCAACAUCAGCUUUCCAGAUACCACAUACCACUUUUUCAAAAUGCUUUGACAAAGUUAAAACACGUAAAGCUUGUAGCUCCAACUACAUUGCUAUGACCAAGAAGGGUAAAUGAAUAGCAUUACUACUUGUUGUUAGGGAGACUCCUAUAUAUGUCGACCUCCAUCUUCCACAGACAGGCAGACCUGCAAAAAUGCUUAACCCUUCCUCAUAUCUGAGAGGGCACUCCCAACGAAGCCUCUCAAAAUACUCAGCUUUCUUCCCCCCCAAUAAUACCUAUGCAAUCCAGCCACACCAGAGCAAGAAUAUCUCAUAUCAUCAGGGUUAAAAGCAAGAGUAUCUCAUAUCAUGCUUUUUCCCUGUCUUUUCCUUUGCCCUUGUUCUUACCUGCAAGAUAAGGAGAAAGAGAACAAUCAGUCAGCACUUGGAAUCAAGCUUACAGUCAUGAGCUGACUGCCUGGAACCCCUUGCCUGAUUACUUACAUGGCAUUGCUCUCGAGUACUCAUCUUCAACAUCUUAUGCUUCCAGAAAAGAUACUACAUCUGUCUGAGGAACAGAUAGGGCAAGUGAGAAGGAUACAAGGAAGCAUGCCGAUUCAUCUAUUACUUCGUCAACAUCAAAAGUAUCCCAUAUCAUCAAGGUCGAACGCACUCUUGAUUUGAUAGACUUGUUUUGACCCUCAAAUUCUUGAGUCGGCCUUAUACUCUUGAGGAAACCAGAAAACCCUCAAGUCCAAUUCAAGAAUAAGCCUGUGGAAAGUUACUUCUUCAAAAGCAAGAGUAUCUCAUAUCAUCUCUUCUCCAUUUGCUUCUCCUUAUCCUUGUUGCUGUUUACGACACAAGGAGAAUGAGAACAAUCAACCGGAAGCCGAAGUCGAACCUCCAAUCCAGGUUGCUUGCUUGGAAGUUUGAUUGCUUACCUUGUCUGUUAUCUCCUUCGGCAAAUCUCCUAGCUCGGCGACUUGGGGGACUCCUACUAUAGGGUUUGUAUCGCACUUGACCAAACCCGAAACUACAAGUAAGCUUCAAGUGAAAUUGAUACAUUACUUUGUGUAUCUUCAUCAGUUAAAGAUACCACCCCUGGAUGGAGGAAAAGUACUUCCAGAAAAGAUGCCACAUCUACAUAUGAGACAGAUAAGGCAAGUGAAAAUGAUAACACACUUCGGUACUUAGAAGUUUCGUGAUUACUCAAUGGCUUGGAUCUUGCAAGUCCCCAAUCGAGGAGCUUCCCUCACUCAGGAACUUAGGGGAGCACUGUUUGUACCAUACUUGACCAAUCCCGAAACUACUGAGCACCGGUCAACGUUAUACUGUCAGGGACCCAGAAGAGUUUCCCUCAAACCAGGAGGCCAAUCAUAGCGCGACACGUGUACACAUCAGAAGCCAAUCACAACACGACAUGUGUCAAUGUGAGAAUUAAACUAGAAACUCUCUUCUAUAAAUAGAGAUCAUUCUCUCACAAUAUUUCCUAAUGUCAUUUGUACUAAAUCAUUCACUAGUACUCACUAAAGGAGAGCUUGAACCUAUGUACUUGUGUAAACCCUUCACAAUUAAUGAGAACUCCUCUACUCCGUGGACAUAGCCAAUCUGGGUGAACCACGUACAUCUUGUGUUUGCUUUCCUGUUCCUAUCCAUUUACAUACUUAUCCACACUAGUGACCAGAGCAAUCUAGCGAAGGUCACAAACUUAACACUUUUUAUUGUACCAAAGUCCUCACUAAUUUUGUGCAUCUACAGAAUGAAUAAACUGAACUUAUAAUUUGUCUACCAAAUUUAUGUUUUCAUUACGAACUAUCAAGGAUGUAAGUGUAAAGUAAUGUCAUGUGUAUUAUGUAUACCUACCCCAAAAUUUAUUAUCCCUCUAUUUUCCACGUAAACCAUCCAAAUACCUUUCAUUUUUUUCGUUGGCCAAACGCCAAACUAGCGUGCAAAAGUUCAUGUAUUUUCCACGUAAACCAUCCAAAUACCUUUCCCUUUUUUCGUUGGCCAAAUGCCAAACUACCGUGCAUAAGUUGAGGUGGGAGGUAGACCUGACAAAUAAGUCAAGUUUGUUGUAUUGGUGUCAUUUUUGUGUUAUUUUUAUUACCUUAACAGGUCGUGUCGUAUCAAACUUGUUAUCGGGUUCUUAGCAGGUGGGCCGAUAAAGACCCAAUUUGUUAACAGAUCAUGUCGUUUCGUGUUCAGUUAACGAGUCAUGCAAGAAAUUGUUAUACUUAAAGUCGGGAUCUGAAAAAUGGUAUUUUAUCGAAUUUUUAACAGGUGACUCGAUAACGAUUUGACUCAUUAACAGGAACUUAACGGAUGAUCAGAUAACCAUCCGAUUAGUUAACAUGUUGACCCAAAACCCAUUCGUGUUGAAUUAACGGGUUGUGCAAGAAAUUGUCAAGUCUAAUAGGAGGACAUAUAUAGUAAGAGCCCCGACCAAAAGUAGAUUAAUACUCUGCUUUUUAGAUAACUAAUUACUAUUAAAUUUUUGCAGUUUUAAUAACCUUCUUAGUUCUUUCAUAAAAAAAAAAAAAAAAAAAACUUUAACGAAAAGCUUCUGGUACUGUUCACUUUAACAAAAAACCGUAUUUUUACACUAAAAAGUCAAUCCUUAUAUUAUGCACUUUACCAUUUAUUUUUUCCUUAUUGUUAAAACUCAAAGUUUUAAAGUCAUUUUCAUGAGUUUUCCUAAAAAAAAAAACUUUCUUUGUUAAAGAAGGAAUUCAGCUUUUAAAAUUAAAAACAUGAUAAGGUUGUCGUUGAGACAUAAUUAAUUAAGAAGCCAUAUCAGUUUUUGAACCAGUAUUAAGAAGUCUUUCAACAUUUUAUCUCUUUAAUUUGAUUCCGGUGCAUAUCUUGGUCCCUUUGUCGCUUCCACAAUCCAUUUUACUAGUGAAUGGCCAGCCGAAAUAUCUUGUCUGCCACCACUCCUCCUUUGGAAAAAGGUAUUUCGCUUUUGCUUUGGCAAUGAAGACCUUUUAUUUAAAGAAGUACAAUAUUCUAUUUUUUGAAGCAAUAAUUUGUAGAGAUAUUGUCAGAAAUGAUCAAUUUUCUUAAUCUUGGAAUUAAAAUAGAAUUUUCUAAAUAUGCACAGAACAUGCACACGAUAUGCACAACAAUGUGAUAGAAAUAAGAUUUUCCUAAAACUUACAUUUACCAAAUUGCCCUCCCAUACAAAUGGGUUACCCUGAAAUUCCAAUUUCCAUUUCUCAUUUCGUAGAGGGAGAAACAUCAUUGACAAAAUUUGAUCUCGAUGGGUGCAUAAUCUUAAGGGAAAUGGAUUGUCGGUUUCUGAUGGGUGUAAAAUCAGAAAUGGGUGAUCCGGUUUACAGAGGCGACGUCGUUAGGGCCUGAUUGACAAAGUGGUCUCCUCAACUUCUGCAAUUUCUUGGUCUUGUUAAGCUAGAGAGAAUGAUAGAGAUUUACAGAAAGAGAAGUUUAGAGAGAGAGAGAGAGAGAGAGAGAGAGAGAGAGAUUGAAUGUAAUUCUUCAGUAUAUUAUUUUUCUUAGUGAGUAAGCAAUCUUACAGGGUAUUUAUAGAGAACACAAGAUUAUAACUAAUCUAACUACCUAGUUAAUCUUAGGCCAAGUGUCACAAUCUCAUAGUUAUACAUAAUAUCUCUAUCAUCCCCCCGCAAACUCAUGCUUGGAAGAUCCUAGAAUGAGAUUGUUACAAUGUGUGUGAAACAAUGGAGCACUCAACCCCUUAGUCAAAAUGUCGGCAAACUGUUCCUUGGAAGAGACAAAUUGAACAUGAAGCUGAUGCUUAGCAACGCGUUCUCGAACAAAGUGAACAUCAACUUCGAUAUGCUUGGUGCGUUGAUGUUGAACGGGAUUGAAAGAUAAAGCAAUGGCCGACAUAUUAUCACAGAACAAUACAGGAACAGAAGAUAUUGUAAUCUGCAAAAAACUCAUGAGUUGCUUAAUCCAAUCAAGUUCUGCAGCCGUGGAAGAUAAGGCCCUAUAUUCUGCCUCUGUGGACGAUUUGGAGACAGUUUGUUGCUUCUUAGAAGACCAAGAAAUGGGAUUACUUUCGAGGUAAACAACUAACCCAGUUGUGGAAUGCCUAUCAUUGGGAUCCCCGGCCCAAUCAGCAUCACUAAAAGCUUUAAUAUCUAAAGUAGAACUGGAAUAAGACAAGCCAUAGGUCAUGAUACCUUUAAGAUACCUAAGAAUCCUUUUGACUGCAGUAUAGUGUGAAACCAUAGGGCACUGCAUAAACUGACACACCUGAUGAACAGAGAAGGCAAUAUCGGGUCUGGUAAAGGUUAAGUAUUGCAGAGCACCCACAACACUCCUAUAAUGUGUAGGAUUGUUAUACGGUUCACCAUCAUCUUUGAGAAGCCGAUGAUAAGGCAGGCAGGGUGUAUCAUAGGGCUUAGAGUCAACCAUUUCUGUUUUAACCAACAAAUCAUGGACAUACUUUUGCUGGGAAAGAAACAACCCAUUUGCAAUGCGAGAGAUUUGAAUACCCAAAAAAUAGUGCAAAGGACCGAGGUCUUUGAUAUCCAAUUCAGAAGUCAAGGACUGAAUAACCUGUUUAAUAGCCAGUGAGUCAUUGCCAGUGAUGAUAAUGUCAUCCACAUAAAGCAACAAAAUAACCAAUGUGGAUCCAACAGCCUUCACAAACAAAGAAGAAUCAGAAUACGUAGUGGUGAACCCCAACUGAGAAAGAAAUGCAGUGAAUCGCUCAUUCCAGGCUCGGGGAGCCUGUUUCAAACCAUAGAGAGAUUUAUGGAGUUUGCAGACCAAAUUAGGAUAAGUAGGGUCUUUAAAACCUGGAGGUUGCACCAUAUAGAUUUCAUCUUGCAAAAUGCCAUGUAAAAAGGCAUUUUUGACAUCCAACUGUCGGAGAGACCAAUUGAAAUGAGCAGCUAAAGCCAACAUUAUCCACAUUGUUAUGGGUUUAACAACGGGACUGAAAGUCUCAGUAUAAUCAAUCCCAGGUUCUUAACUAAACCCUUUAGCUACCAAUCGAGCCUUAUGUCGAGCUAUAGUACCAUCAGAGUGUUUCUUAAUUUUGAACACCCAUUUACAACCAACCAAAUUCUUGUUGGAAGGCAAAGACACCAAGCUCCAAGUCUUCUGAGUAUGAAGAGCAUCAAUCUCUUCGGUCAUAGCAGUCAACCAAACUGGAAAUUUAAGAGCUGACUUGUGAGAAGUAGGUUCAACCAGAUACGGAUCUGUGGUAUGAGAUGACUGUAAAGCGGAGAAAAAUGCCUUCCGUUUGAUGAUCCCACUUUUACUCCUUGUUUGCAUGGAAUAUAUGUUCAAAGGCGGAACAGACAAUACCACUUGAAGAGUCUCAAGACAAUGGACAGGUGCCACAGGGAUCGCAAGGCUUUCACUUUCUGCAGCAGUAAUGGACUGAGAGGGAACAGGUAAAUUGGAACUAGAUGAGGGUGACAAUGAAGAUGGUAUAGAAUGCAUGGAAGAUGAAGUGGACUCUGUGACAUGUGGAGAUGAAGAAGAUAGUGUAGAAACAGGUGAAACAAUCACGUUGUUUGAUGUAACAACGGGAAGUGGGAAAGACACCGAGGAUGGGGGCAAUGAAAUACUCUCCAGUUUCGAUGCUAUCAAUAAUUCUGUAAAAGGAAACUCUUGUUCACAGAAAAAUACAUGCCUUGAUACAUAUAUUCGCUGUCUAGCCACCUCAUAACACAGAAAGCCUUUGAACUUGGAAGCAUACCCUAAAAAGACACACUUAGUAGUUUUGGGUUGUAAUUUGGUGCUAUUGUAAGGUUUAAGGAAAGGAUAACAGGUACACCCAAAAAUUUUCAAGUGAGAAAGAACUGGAAUACUCCCAUAUAGUAACUCAAAAGGAGAAUUAUUGGAUAGUAAAUGAGUAGGCAUUCUAUUUAUAAGAUAAGUGGCUGUUUGACAAGCAAAGCUCCAAAAAGAAGAAAGAAUCUGAGCAUUUCUAAGCAAAGUAAUGGUGGUUUCAAUGAUAUGCCGAUGUUUUCUCUCAGCCAAGCCAUUUUGUUCCGGGGUAUAUGGACAGGAUUUUUGAUGUGAAAUGCCUUUGGCAACUAGAAAAGACUGAAAUUUAUUACUACAAAACUCUCAUCCCCCAUCACUCUGGAAAAUCUUCACAGUAGCAGAAAACUGAUUCAACACAUGGGCAUAGAAAGCAAUAAAGGUGGCACAAAGAUCUGAUUUAUUGAUGAGAGGAAAUAUCCAUGUGUAUCUAGUACAUUCAUCGAUAAAGGUAACAUAAUACCGAUAUCCAUCAACUGAUGUACAAGGUGCAGGACCCCAAAGGUCACUAUGCACAACCUGAAAAGGAAUGACAGACUUAUUGACAGAUGUGGGAAAUGGCAGCUUACAAAAUUUACCUUUUAAACAACUUUGACACACAAUAGGGACUGAAUCUUUGGCACAAGGAAUGUUGGAUUUAUGCAACAUUAAAGAAACAAUGGAAUUAUAGGGAUGACCCAAUCUACGAUGCCAUAUAGUAGAAUUGACAAGUUGUCUAAGAAAAGCUUUAGCUUGUAGCUUUGGAUGAGGUACACCAAGAGUGGUAUUAGCGAAAGAAUGAAUGGGAUAAAGUCCAUUACUGCAUAGCCCUCGGAAGAGGAUCCUCCCUGUGGCUUUGUCCUGUAUCUAGAAGCAAAAAGCAUCGAAGAUAAGAUAACAGUUGUUAUCUAGACAAAGCUUGUGAACAGAAAGUAGAUUCUGUGAUAGUUUAGGAACAUAUAACACAGAAUUUAACUGGAUAGGCUGCACAGAAGUAUUAACCACAGUACUACCAAUAUGGGAUACUUUCAAACCUUCACCAUUAGCAGUUUGAAUUGUUUCAUUGAAUGGAUACGGUGAAGCCAAUGACAAGUUGUUCAAAUCUGCAGUCGUGUGAUUGGUGGCGCCUGAAUCAGUAAGCCACACUUGAGGAGUGGUCUGUGAAGCAGAAGGUUGUGAUGGUAGAGCCAGGGCAGUAUGCAUAGCUUGCAUAGAUGGCUGCGAGUAUUGUGGCACAGGAUAAGCAGGACCGGAACUCUGAGAAUAGCCAUAUUGCUGUCCAGUAUGUGAAGCAUAUUGCUGUCCAGGAUGUGAACCAUAUUGCUGUCCAGGCAUAGGAGAAUAAUGAGAGGCAGAACCAAUGUAGUUCGGUCCUUUCUCAUUGUAAAAACAAAACCAGGUGACAUGAUUGGUUUUGCCAUAGAUGUGACAUUGCGAUCUGGUAGGAGGCGGAGAAUCACAAAAUUGUGCUGUAUGACCGUCACUAUUACAUAGCUGACAUGUAACAAGUGAUGGAGCAGAAGGGGCAUAAGAAGAGUGUGGAGCUUAACCAAGUACUCCCGGAGCUGAAGUUGGAAACACAUGAGUUUGAGGUUAAGAAAAUGGUCUGUGAUUAAAGUUUCUAGAACCUUGAUUAAACUUGCCCUUGCCUUUGUUCUUAUACUGAUUGAACUGCUUAAAUCCCCUUGGAACAAAAUGAGACUGUCCGGAGCCAUUGGAAAAAGACGGAGAUAAGCCUUUAGGUGCCAGUGAUGAAUUUGUAGCAACCAUUGCAGCUAAAAAUGGUGCAGGUGUACUGGAAUCAACAAUAGCCUCUUCUGCAAGCAACUGAGACCGAAAUUCUUUGAGAGAAAUAACUUGUUCUCGGCCUCGAAUAACAGUUCGGAAGGUAUUAUACUCAUGAGGCAACCCAUUCAAAGCCAAAAUCACGAUAUCUUCAUCAGCAAAGGAAACACCAGCAGCAGUAAGAUAAUCCCUGGCAACUUUUAUCUUUUGGAGGUACUGAGCCACAGUAUCAGUUCCUUUCUUAAUGUUUUGUAAGUUGGACUUCAAUUGAAAGAUACUAGUACAAGAAACAGUAGAGAAUUGUUCCUUUAAUCGAGUCCAAAGAUCACGAGAACUAACACUACCGAUAGCACAGAACAUAGCUACUGGAGAUAAAGUGGCAGUGAUCAACUGCAUAAGAGCCCUAUCAUGCAUCAUCCAGAUCAAAUACUCAUCAGAAUCAACAGAAGAUGAUGAAUUUGACAGAUCCACACUAAAGGGACCAGAGGGAGAAACACAUCGAGAAGGACACGGGAUGGAGCCAUCAACAAAUCCCAUGAUACCAUUACUUUCGAGUAAUAAUUGCAUUUGAAAUUGCCAAUUUAGGUAAUUGGAAUCAUCAAGUUUAAUAUUCACCGAAGUAGGAAGCGAUGAAAUAAGUGCAGUAAUUGGAGACUGGAGCAGUUGCAAUUGACUAGCAGUAACCAUGAUGCAAGAAACAAGGCACAAAAUCUGGUAGAAAGAAAGAUACCUCUCAGCGGCAAAAUCACAAACACCUGGAGUGCAGAAACACAAAAGACAACGAGAAGAGAGUUCCGAUCAGAAAUUGCAGAGCGUCGAAACCUUAGAAUCUUGAAGAAGAAAAGAACCGAGAAGAACACAGCACAAUUCAGUUGUGACACGACAAUGCGUCAAUUAGCAUGGACAAUAGCGGAAGCUGAUUAAGGAUCGAAGAGGGGGUAGCCAUGGCGGCGAGUGAUACCAUGUUAAGCUAGAGAGAAGGAUAGAGAUUUAUAGAAAGAGAAGUUUAGAUAGAGAGAGAGAGAGAGAGAUUGAAUGUAAUUCUUCAGUAUAUUAUUUUUCUUAGUGAGUAAGCAAUCUUACAGGGUAUUUAUAGAGAACACAAGAUUAUAACUAAUCUAACUACCUAGCUAAUCUUAUGCCAAGUGUCACAAUCUCAUAGUUAUACAUAACAUCUCUAUCAGGUCUGACACCAUGGCAUUAGCAAUGCCACCUACAUAUAGUAACUGAAUAAAUGGAAAAUCAAACACUUUUCAAUCUCUCUCUUAGGCUGCUCUCUUUCUCUUCUCUAUCUCUCCCCCCUUUCUCUUUCUCUUUCUACAAAAAUCGGAGCUUUCAAUUUUUAAAUUUGGGUUUUCUGUUUUUACUAUGAGAACUUAGGGUUCUUGAUGCAAUAUUUGGAGGGAAUUUUCAAGCGAGAGUUUUGGAGCAAAUCUUUGAGGAAUGUGGUGAGUAUUUUGCCUCCAUUUUCCGAAAUUAGGUUUUGAGAAAAGUUAAAGAACUCGAUGCUAGUCAUGGCAUUGUUGUCGUCGUUGUCGAGGUCAAAAAUGAAGCUUUGGAUGAUACGUGCAACGACGUUGGUUUGUUGUGGACAUGCAGCGUGCAAUUAACAGCAUUGGGGGAUAUGUGGGGGCCUAGAUUCUGGAAAUCCCAUUAAAAAUCAUCUCUUUCCAGUGACAUGCACAUGAUAUGCUCAUAGAUCUGAGCCAACCCAAAAACUUAGAGCUCACAACUCUCUCUUCGAAAUCAGAAAAAUGACGUCAUCACCUUUGAGUUUUUACAUUUUAUAUGUGGGUCUUUUCAUCAUUUCGCUUUUGUGCAUGAUAUGCAUGGCUUGUGCAUGGCCAGUUUAUCCUUUUUUACUCCCAAGAUUAAGAAAAUAGAUCAUUUGUGUCUAUUUCCCUUUUUUUUAAGAAAAUUGAGCUUUCUUUAUAUAUAAAACCAAUUGGCAAUAUUAAAAAAAAAAGCCAACUAAAUUACUCAUUCUAAACAAUAUCCAAUAUUAUUUUUCCAUUCAAAUUAACCUAAUGUGAAUUUAUUUUUCUAUAUUGAUGGCCCUGACAUUAUUUAAAUUAUUAACCAUUUAGUUUGGUAAAGCUUUAGAGGUUUUUCGUUUUAGUUGUCAUAGAUCAAAGCUGGUAGGACCGGUUGGGUUGUUACAGAGUAUCUGGGCCAUAGCUACCUUCAAGCUUCAACCCCAACCUUUGGGUGGUUCUAUGGGAUCCCAAACUGAAAAUAAGAUCUCGAAUCCCAAACCGAACGUUUUUGGAAUGGGAAUUUAAAGACUAAUCCCGAACCGAAAUUUCAGUAUUCUAAAUUUUCAGAAUUCUCGAAAUGUUUUUGCUAUUUCGGGAUUCCCGAAUUUGGUGUAUCCAAAAUCAAUAACAUAUUUAAUCACAUAUCCAAAUCUAAAUUCCAAUUCAAAAGCAACACAGUACAACACACACACAAAUCAAAUCCAAGUUCAAACCACCACAAUUCCUAGUUGCAAUUUUAUACUAAGACUGCAUCGUAAACUUAAAUACGAGACAAUGUGAAAAGAAGGUCGAGGAAUUGAAUAAAACCCAGCUUCACAUACUCAGUUGAUGAUGACCAACUAGAUUCAAUUACUGAUAGCAAUCCAUGACUGAAGUUCAACACAUAAAUGUAAAAUGGACAAAUAUAGUGAACAGAAACAAAAGUGAUAAAUACAAAUCCAGAAAUGAGAGCAACCUUCAAAUUCUGGUAGCAGUCCAUAAUUGCAUUGCAGCCUUGCUUUGCUUGUUCCAAGCCCAGAGAGAGAAUCGCGCGAGAGUGAGAGAGAGAAGGGUGGCUACAUGUGGUGGAUGGAGAUGGUGAGGUGGGCCGGUGGGUGGGCAGAGUUGAGCUGAGGUUCAUCGGUUCCAAUUCAAGACAGAGAGAGGGGUGGGUGGCUGAGGGUAGACAUGGCAUUCGUGUCGUGUUUUCCGUGUUCGUGUCGUUUUCGUGUCAUACCCGAUAUCUUAACGGGUCGUGUCGUGUAACACCCGUUAAAAUAAACGGGUAAAAUGACCCGACCCGAAAUCGACCCGAUAAUAUUAACAGGUAAUAUGACCCAACCCGUUACCCGUUAAGGAAAAUAUAUUUUAAACCAAUAAAUAAUCAAAUGAAAAACAUAAUACUAAAUAAGUAUAUACAUUCCAUAUUAUCACAUCCAAAACAUAAAAACGCAAUUUUGUUUUAAGUAUAUUUUCGCUUACCUAAAGUCUUUAAUAGUUUUUUAAUUAAUGUAGAAGUGUAAAAAAAUAUAGAAAAAAAUAUAUAAACACUCGUAAUGACAAGCUUUAUAACUUUCAUGAAGAGCUUAACUUCGAAAUUCGCCACUAUAAUCAUAUAAAUCAUAGAUCAAAAUUUAACCAUUGAUUGUUGUUUACAUUUAUGCUUCAUUGUUCUCAUCAAAUUUCGUUUUUUUAGAUUUUCUUUUUUGAAAACAUAAUCUAUUAGAGGGUGCAGGUAGAUGAACGGUUUGGAUCAUUAAUAUUAUAUUUAGAGUUUUGCGAUUAGUGAAAAUAUUGCUUGAUGUUUAUAAAGUUUCUACAAAUUAUAUGACAUUGACUCAUAUUUCAGUUAACCGUAAAUAUCGAAAUGUGAUAUCAUCUUCUUACAUCCGCCAGAUGAUCAUGUUUUCAAAAAAUAAAAUUUUAAAAAUGAAAUUCAGUAAGAAGAAUAAACCGUAAAUGACAAUCGACAGUUAAAUAAAUUUAAGGUUUCACUACUACAAAAUUAUCUAUUGCUGGCGGUCCAAAAACUUUUUUCAACGAUCCAACCGUCAAACUUAUUUGUACACAUUCCAAGAUUGCAUACGUAAAAAAUCAUAAAAAACAAACAUUCAGAGAUUACGUAACGGAACAAAAGUUUUCGACGGUUAUAAACGAAAAAUCAUAAUUUAACGGUUAUUUUAGCUCCGAUUUUGAUGAUCUUUUACAGAAACACUCAUCGACCCUAUAAGAAUGUAAUGAAUAAAUUUGAUCUUUAAUUUAAAGUAUUUACACUAGUGGAUACCACAAAAACUUAUUUUAUACUUAAUAAAAGUAUAAUAUUAACUCUAAGUGUUUGUUUAAUCUACUAUUUUGACGCAAUAUGCAUUCUACGAAACUUUUUUCAACGAUCUAACCAUCAAACUUAUUUGUACAUAUUCCGAGAUCGCAUACAUAAAAAAUCGUAAAAAACAAACAUUCAGAGAUUACGUAAUGGAACAAAAUAUUUCGAUGGUUAUAAACGAAAAAUCACAAUUUAACGGUUAUUUUAUCUCUGAUUUUGAUGAUUUUUUACAGAUAGACUCCUCGACCUAUAAGAAUGUAAUGAAUAAAUUUGAUCUUCAAUUUAAAGUAUUUAUACUUAAUAGAAGUAUAAUAUUCACUCUAAGUGUUUGUUUAAUCUACUGUUUUGACGCAAUAUGCAUUCUACAAAACUUUUUUCAACGAUCCAACCGUCAAACUUAUUUGUACACAUUCCGAGAUCGCAUACGUAAAAAAUCAUAACAAACAAACAUUCAGAGAUUACGUAACAUAACAAAAGUUUUCGACGGUUAUAUACGAAAAAUCACAAUUUAACGGUUAAUUUAUCUCUGAUUUUGAUGAUUUUUUACAGAUACACUCCUCAAUCCUAUAAGAAUGUAAUGAAUAAAUUUGAUCUUUAAUUUAAAGUCUUUACACUAGUGGAUACCACAAAAACUUAUUUUAUACUUGAUAGAAGUAUAAUAUUAACUCUAAGUGUUUGUUUAAUCUACUGUUUUGACGCAAUAUGCAUUCUACAAAACUUUUUUCAACGAUCCAACCGUCAAACUUAUUUGUACACAUUCCGAGAUCGCAUACGUAAAAUAUCAUAAAAAACAAACAUUCAGAGAUUACGUAACGGAACAAACGUUUUCGACGGUUAUAAACGAAAAAUCACAAUUUAACGGUUAUUUUAGCUCCGAUUUUGAUGAUUUUUUACAGAUACACUCCUCAACCCUAUAAGAAUGUAAUGAAUAAAUUCGAUCUUUAAUUUAAAGUAUUUACACUAGUGGAUACCACAAAAACUUAUUUUAUACUUAAUAGAAGUAUAAUAUUAACUCUAAGUGUUUGUUUAAUCUACCGUUUUGACGCAAUAUGCAUUCUACGAAACUUUUUUCAACGAUCCAACCGUCAAACUUAUUUGUACACAUUCCGAGAUCGCAUACGUAAAAAAUCAUAAAAAACAAACAUUCAGAGAUUACAUAAUGGAACAAAAGUUUUCGACGGUUAUAAACGAAAAUUCAUAAUUUAACGGUUAUUUUAUCUCCGAUUUUGAUGAUUUUUUACAGAUAGACUCCUCGACCUAUAAGAAUGUAAUGAAUAAAUUUGAUCUUUAAUUUAAAGUAUUUACACUAGUGGAACUUAUUUUCUACUUAAUAGAAGUAUAAUAUUAACUCUAAGUGUUUGUUUAAUCUACCGUUUUGACGCAAUAUGCAUUCUACAAAACGUUUUUCAAUGAUCCAACCGUCAAAAUUAUUUGUACACAUUCUGAGAUCGCAUACGUAAAAAAUCAUAAAAAAACAAACAUUCAAAGAUUACGUAACGGAACAAAAGUUUUCGACGGUUAUAAACGAAAAAUCACAAUUUAACGGUUAUUUGAGUUCCGAUUUUGAUGAUUUUUUACAAAUACACUCCUCGACCCUAUAAGAAUGUAAUGAAUAAAUUUGAUCUUUAAUUUAAAGUAUUUACACUAGUGGAUACCACAAAAACUUUUUUUAUACUUAAUAGAAGUAUAAUAUUAACUCUAAGUGUUUGUUUAAUCUACCGUUUUGACGCAAUAUGCAUUCUACAAAACUUUUUUCAACGAUCCAACCAUCAAACUUAUUUGUACACAUUCCGAGAUCGCAUACGUAAAAAAUCAUAAAAAACGAACAUUCAGAGAUUACGUAACGGAACAAAAGUUUUCGACGGUUAUAAACGAAAAAUCACAAUUUAACGGUUAUUUGAGUUCCGAUUUUGAUGAUUUUUUACAGAUACACUCCUCGACCCUAUAAGAAUGUAAUGAAUAAAUUUGAUCUUUAAUUUAAAGUAUUUACACUAGUGGAUACCACAAAAACUUUUUUUAUACUUAAUUAAAGUAUAAUAUUAACUUAAGUGUUUGUUUAAUCUACUAUUUUGACGCAAUAUGCAUUCUAUGAAACUUUUUUUAACGAUCCAACCAUCAAACGUAUUUGUACACAUUUCAAGAUUGCAUACGUAAAAAAUCAUAACAAAUAAACAUUCAGAGAUUACGUAACGGAACAAAAGUUUUCGACGGUUAUAAACGAAAAAUCACAAUUUAACGGUUAUUUUAACUCCGAUUUUGAUGAUUUUUUUACAGAUACACUCCUCGACCAUAUAAGAAUGUAAUGAAUACAUUUGAUCUUUAAUUUAAAGUAUUUAUACUAGUGGAUACCACAAAAACUUAUUUUAUACUUAAUACAAGUAUAAUAUUAACUCCAAGUGUUUGUUUAAUCUAUUGUUUUGACGCAAUAUGCAUUCUACAAAACUUUUUUCAACGAUCAAACCGUCAAACUUAUUUGUACACAUUCCAAGAUCGCAUACGUAAAAAAUCAUAAAAAACAAACAUUCAGAGAUUACGUAACGGAACAAAAGUUUUCGACGGUUAUAAAUGAAAAAUCACAAUUUAACGGUUAUUUUAGCUUUGAUUUUGAUGAUUUUGUACAUAUACACUCCUCGACCCUAUAAGAAUGUAAUGAAUAAAUUUGAUCUUUAAUUUAAAGCAUUUACAUUUUUUAUAUAUGAGUGAUUGUAUAUAUAUAUUUUUACAUUUUUUACACUUCUACAAUAAUUAUUAUUAAUUAUAUUAAUUUUGCCCUCAAAUAAAAAACAUUAUUCAUGAGGACUUGAAGGAUUUUAAAAAUCUAAAUGAUAAUAUAAGUGUAACAAUUAUCUAUUUGUAGAGGAAUAAUGAUAAAUCACGAGUGUUUAUAUAUUCUUUCACAUUUUUCAUACUUUUAUGUAUGUCUUCUUAGUUCUUGCAUAUACAAAUACUAUACUAGUAUGUUAUGUAAAAUUUAGUAAAAUUUAUGUACAAGAAUAUGUUAUGUAAAAUUUAUCCUAGUAAUGAUAAUAAGGAACUCUCAUAAUAAAAAUAAAUAAUGACUAAAACUUUUUUUUUUUUAUAAUUUAUAUAGAACAAUAAUACAAAAUUAUAUAUUUAAUAUAGAAUAUAUUGUAUAUAUUAAUAUGACUAUUGUGUUUUAUAAUAAAUCUUUUAGUAAUUAAACUUUAAAAUUAUUAAAAUAUUUUUUUUCUUAACGGGUCGAAACGGGUUACCCACGUGUUACCUGCGUGUAUACCUGUUAAGAACCCGUUAUUAACGGGUUCUUAACGGGUCACCCGAUAAUGACCCGAUAAGUUAUCGUGUUGACCCGAAACCCGUUAUUUUCGUGUCGUUUUCAUGUCGUAUCAAAAACUGCCAAGUCUAGCUGAGGGUGAGGGAGGCAGGAAGAGGCUUUGAGGUUCGAAAUGAAAUGAGAGAAUGAGUAGGGCUGGAGCCUGGAUGCCCCCAACAAAAGUUGGACGGCCCAUAUAAUUUCUAAACAAUCCAACGGUGGCAUUAAUUCUAACUAUAAUUAAAAUAUAUAAUAAUUUAUAAUUUCGGCUUGGUUUGGGAUUCCCGAAAAAUUAAAUAAGCAAUCCCAAAUCCUAUAACGAAUGGUUUGGGAUUGGUUCGGGAUUUGUCCCAAAAAUUUCGGAAAUUUUGGUUUGGGACUUUUUUAAGGUUUGGUUUGGGAUUUUCGGGAAUUUUUUCCCACCCUACCCAACCCUAGGGAUUACUUUUCCUUUUAUACGUUUUUAUAAUCCGCUGGCUUGUUAUUUUCCAAUGGAGAUGAAACCUAUUGUUACGGCACAAAAUAGAACACUUUUGUUUGAAUUUAGUGUACUUCCCACAUUCAAAUAGGAAGAAAUAUUAUAACCGAAACAAUUACGUAGUUUUAAAACUAUUUAGUCACUCAAUUAAAUGGAUUUUUCCUAAAUAACUGAUAUUAUCUACCCUAAGGGUGUGGGGAGUGGGCUAAGCAUCACAAAAAGGCUAGCAAUAAUAUGGUUAAAAUUCGUCUUUGAUGAGAAUUGAACCUAAAACCUCUCACUUCCAAGUGAAGAGGAAUACCUAAACAGGUAAACUAAAUUUAUAGGAGCCUUAGCCUUCAUUCAUUCAUAUAAAUACAUUUGAUUACAAAAAUCAUACUCGGAUACAAAGUUUUCCAUCUAUAUCUUAAAUACAAGAUAACACAUAUCACUUACAUUUGAUUGCUCACUAAACUAACGGGAUGAGUUUUUAUGAGGACCCUUGUUUAACAUCCCCCGACAAACUUGGCCUCGGAGGAUGAACGAGUUUGGGGCGACGUUGAAGAUGUUCGGCCUUAAGCAGAUCCUUAGUUAGCAAGUCAGCUAGCUGAUUAAUGGAAAGGAUGAACUGCAACUGGUGACUACCCAACCCAACUCGUUCACGAACAAAAUGUUAAUCUAAUUCAAUAUGGUGGUAGAGCAUGAAAUACGGGGUUUGUUGCCAUAUAGGUGGUGCUAAGAUUGUCACAAUACAAGAAGACUGGGUAUUGGGCAGCGGUGCCUAACUCAAAGAAUAAAUAUGAUGAUAACACGUAAUUUCAGUACAAGCAUAAGAGAGUGCUUGGCGCUGCUCGAGUUGGACAUGAUGUGUUGUUUCUUAGAACACCAAGAAAUUAAGUUUAUGCCAUGAUAAAUAAGAUAACUUGUUGUGGAGUGAUACAUAUCAACACAACCUGCCCAAUUCGCAUCGGUCCACGUAGAGAUUUGAGAAUGAGCAUAUUGAGGAUGUAGUAGCAACCCAUGAAUGAUGAUACCCUUUGCAUAUCACAAUAUCUGUUUGGCAGAAAAGAGAUGGGGCAGUUAAGGAGAGGCCAUAACUGAGAGACAUUAUUUACAACGAAAGCUAUAUUAGGCCGGGUUAAUGUAAGGUACUGUAGAAAACAAACCAAUGCUAGAAAUUUAGUGGGUGAAGAAAGGAAUGAGUCUUCGUGAGCCGAGAGAGAGACUUUGGGAGCAACCAGGAAUGAGCAAGGUUUGCAUUCCAACAUUUGUGCCCUUUUUAACAAGGCAUGGGCAUAUUUGAGCUGUUAAAGAAAAAGACUCGCAAAAGAAGGUUAAACUUGAAUUCCCCAAAAGUAACUUAAUGGACCCAAAUCCCUUAAGUAAAAAAUUGAUCACAAGGAACGAAUGAAUUCCUGCAAGAUCGUGGGGUGUUGCUAAUGAGGAAUAUGUUGUCGACAUAUAAGAGCAACAAGAUGGUGUGAGAUCCUCGGUGGAAAAUGAAGACAGAGUUAUCCGUUCAGUUCUGGAUGAAUCCAUAAUGAAAUAAAAACGAACUGAAGUGAUGGUACUGUGCCCUUGGCGUUUAUUUGAGGCUAUAAAGUGUCUUAACAAGACGGCAUACAUGGCAAGGGUGAUGUGGAUCAAUGCAACAUGACAGCUGAGACAAGUAGACCUCCUCCUAUAAAUAACCGUGCAAGAAUGCGUUUUUAACAUUGAGUUGACAAAUAUGCCAGUGCUUGGUCAGUGUAAGGCCUUAGGACAAUUUGGAUUGUUACACACUUCACAACACACAACAAGGCUAAAAGUUUCAUCAUAAUCGACCCUAGGCUACUGAUGAAUGCCCUUAAACACCAAUUGCGCUUUAUAGCACUCCUUAAAGUUCCAACAUUUGGGGUUUAAGCCUAUCGACGAUCUUCUUGAAGUGGAUCACUAUAAGCAGUAAUCAACUUUUCAUCAUUUGCAUAAGUAGUGGAACGAAGCUCAUAAACUACAUGCUUAAGAUCUUAAAUAUGAGGUAUGUAACAUCCAAUCUCAUUCUCUGCACUUUCAUACUUAACUUGGAUCACGUCAAGCCUAGUCUUCAAGUCAACAAUCUCUUGGUGAGCGAUCUUAAGUUGCAGAGAAGUGGGGGCAGAGAUGUUAGACCCCUUCAAAGCGAUGAGCUCAGACUCCAACCUCUUGAUCUUCUUGGCAGAAGAAUAAUUUUCAGCUGCCAUGGUCUUUGCAUCAUAGCAAGCAGAGCAAUCCUUCUAUAUUCAGUUGUAUGCUUCGCAAAGGAACUUGGGCAAACAACCCCUCUAACGCCAUCGACAAGCUUGGCACACAUGUCCAUGUCUUCAAGAAGAUUUAGUUUCAGGAGCGCACAAAUCUCAGCAUCCUCCCUAGAAACAAGCUUGGUGGAUUUCUCACAAUAGUCCACGCGAGCAGUCUCCUCUUUCUCAACAGGCGAAUCAGUCUCAGCAGCAAGGGGAGUGGGCUUUAGCGCCAUUUUAGUGGCAGAGUCCACCUUAUCGCUCUUCAUAGUGGCAAACAUCUCCAAAGGUGAACCAGACUUAGCUCCCGACUGACGUCUUGGUACAAAUUUUAGCACUGGGGGCACGACGGAACCUCUACGCUGAGCAAUCCUAUCAGCAAUCAUACUAGCCACCUUUGGUGUGGCAGGUGUCACCGGCUCAAAUCUAGCAACCCCAUCUUUCUUCCCCUUAGAAAAAGUCAAAUUAAUCACAAGCUUAUCGGUAGCAGGUAGACCCUCACAAGCAACUGAGGAAGUCUUCAGCUUUUUCUCAGUUGGCAUCUCUUGACUAGGUGGGGAAGAUCUCUUCUUUCCACCUUCAUUCACAGCAAGCUCCACGACAACGAUCGGACAAGCCAAUGCCUCCGCCUUGAUCCGCAUUAUUUCCUCUCUCGGGGGCAGUCCAUCUUUCUCCCCACGAAGAGGACUAAGCAGCCAAUGCCAUUCAAGGUACCCAAAAAUGAUACCUAGAGAAACAUGCACCUUCUUCAUAUAUGGAUAAGUCUUGGGAGUUCAGCCGAAUUCCGAAUCUACAUAAGCAAAGGAGGACAACCGAUAAAUCAGAUAGCAGCUCAGCAAAAGUACAAAGCAGUCUAUGUACUGGUGAUGAAAAUCGUCGGAACACGUAGGUUAGGGGAAGAAUCAGACUCCCACUUUCCACUUAUCUUCAAAAUCUCAUUGGCCUAGUCAUGAUCCCCCUUGCUCGAAUGAUCGAAGAGCCUAUGGCGGGAUCGUAGUUGCACAACUCAUUCAAUGUGGCCUUUGUCAAAGAAGUACCAAAAUUCAUUAACGGUCAAAUCCAAGUCGAAGAAUUGGCUUAGAUUGAGGAAUCUCACCACUACACGGAUCGCAUUUGGAGAACAUUAAGCGGGGGCACACUUCAUGAAGCAAAGCACUUCUUGGAAUAAACCCAGCAUGGAAAAAGUAAAUCCCAACACGAAGUAGUAGGGGUGAAACUUGAUGGCUCCUCGAGCCCCACUACAUGGCUCACAGCUGCUACCCUCCUUAACACGCUUCACACGUACCCUAGACGGAAUUGCAUGCCUAUAUGCUUCAAGAAAAUCUCUAAACAAGACAUCAGAGCUAAUUUUGAAGUGAGUAGUCUUGAAGUAGCCCACCUUACUCAAAAACCCGUCUUAAUGAUACAACGGCGGUAUGCCAUCAUCACCCUUGUGGCUUAAAGAAUACAUGCUCGAGAAAAUUCUAUAAAGACGCAAGGAAAAUUCGUUAGAUGGCUAACAAAAAAAAAAGUAAUCAGCGCAUCAAGCCCUAUGGACAAAAAACCAAGUCACGACUCAAACCGCAGGAGCCAAGCAGCUGCACCAGGCCCCACGGCCUAGUUCUUUUUCCUUGGCUCAAAAGCCUCGCAACCCAGUCCAAAUGGAGGGGGCUAGCGCCCCCACACCUCCAUCUCUCUCUCAUCUCACCAGCACGGGCCCAAGCCUAGCAGUUCAAAAUCCAGCGCCUCUCAAUCUUGACCCAAGCCGAGAGGUUUUUGACCUAAGCCGAGCCUAAGCUCACCUUCAUGGCCCACGUUGUUGCACCCAAACCUCGGCAUGCGCGGAGAGGCCGCUGCACCAAGCAGAUACACGACAACAGCCAUGUCAUGGCUCCUCAACCAUUUUUUAACACAUUCUCAACCCCCGUCGAGCUUAAUUUCAAGCCCUGAGGCUCCCAAAAAUUAAGAAGACAAGAAAAAUUAAAUUUUUCUUACCUUGGUGUGGCGUGAAGACGAAGAAAGCAACGAAAGACAGUCAUUUGCACUGGUAAGUGUAGAAGAUUGCCAAAGGAAGGGUAACAAAUAUCCUCUAGGUUUCUCUCUCUUGUAGGGUAGACUAAAUUGCUCUCUGAAGUUGAUUUAAUCAUCUACUUAAGGUAGACUUAAAUAGACUUUAGAAGUAAUUUAUUUCCCUUUCCUAGAAGGAUCUAAUUUUCAAUUAAUGAGGGAAUCUACAUCAAAAUAGGAAACAAUAUUAUGUUUCCUAAAGCAAGGGAAAAUCUCUACACCUGCUGCUCUUUCCUGCCAGCAGCCCAACAUGUGUGGGGGCAUUUGUGUAGCAAAAAAUAAUCAAGAAAAUUAUGGAGGUGGCACGUGGACUUUUGGGUGAAAAUGACAAAAUUACCCUCAAGGCACACCAGAAUUCCCACGCGCAUGCAACGGACAAUAACGACUCAAUCAAUGAAGAGUCAAAGGUGAUCAAAAUGGUAUUUAUUCAAAUCCCUCUCAUCACUCCUCAUCAAAUCCCCACUCAAAAGGUAACUCCCAAUUAUCAUAUUUAAAUUAGGAUUAAUUGCCAAGUUAAUUGCAAGAUACUAUUUCACAUAAUAUCUUGCAAUUAAACUCAUAAUUCUACCAAUAAUGGUCGGUCCCUAUUUCUCCAAAGAGGGCCGGCCACACCCUAUUGUUUGGACCCAAAUUUACACCAUCGGCCCGUGUAAUCAAGGCCGUUGAGUAAGCAUAGUUCUCAACUGUUGGAUGGAAAAGUGGGGAUAAUUUUUUGUUAUUGUUAAAGGAUAAUAUUAUGGUUUUUAUCAUAAUAAUUAUCUUUUAAUAUGAAUUAUCUUGGCAUAUUCUUAAACAGGAUGGAUAUGAUGCAGAUUAUAUCCCCAAGCAAGUGGUACAGUUAAAAUUGAUUUGGAUGUAUGGCAAUGGACGUGCAGAUUGAAAAAGCUUGGAGUGGAGAUCAUCAUAUGAGAUUUGAUGAUUUUAAAAUCAUGGUCUUGGAUAAUGAUGGGAUAAGGAACCUAGGUAGACUAGGCCUUUUUGCAUGGUGAUGGAUGUUGUCAGAUGGGUUUAAAAGCUAUUGAUGGAGUUUUGAAGAUAAGAAGCCUAGGUGGGCUAGGCUUUUUAUGAGAUGUGAUAAGCCUAACUUUUAUUAGGUUUGAAAAGUCAAGGAAAAAUCCCAUAGAUCAAUUUGAAGGAUAUGCCUUGGUUUCUGAUGCGGAUCAAGUUCAGUUCCGCGAAUUAGAGUUGCAGUCAGACUCUACACAAUUAUCUAGUCGUGCCAAGCAAGUACACCAGUCGUAUAAAUACAGAUGCAAUGGCAACGAAAAAAUGACCUCCAAUUCAACACAUAAACUGUCAUGCGCAAACUCUUGCUCUACGCAAAACCUCUCAACAACCUUGAGAUUUUUAUUUUCUUUUUCACCGACACAUCUUCAAUUUGGAUAAACAACAUUGUGAAGGCAACCGACAAACAUCUUAAGUUUGGAUAAACAGUACUGUUGCCGUAGAAUCAGCCGACCGCGAAUCAUCUUCAGUUUAGAUAAACAGCACUGCGUUGAGGCCGACUGGUUAUCUAUCCAAGUCUCGGUCGAAAAGGAUUUUCGAAUCCUUAUUGGCAGAGGUCAUCUCAUUAGCCUUCUCGACGAAGUGAGGUGUUACAGGUUACUACAUUCGGCACAUUGAAAGCCGAAUUUGAUAUUGAACUUCGCAGAAUUAGCAGCCUUGUCUUCAGGCUCUAGAACCCAAAGGCCAAGACGUGUUCCUUCCUCGGCCGCAGUAGCGAUAUUCAGAAGUCAGCAGGGCACCCAAUGCAACAUCAACCCAUUUUACUCACUGGCCGAGCUCGGCCGUCAAGUUGGCACUCCCCGCACACAACCGAAUGACGUAGUUAGCUUAUUAAUUACUCGGUCUGCCCGCCACGUAGGUUUGGUAGUUUUUAGGGUCAACAUUUUGGCACGCCCAGUGGGACCCAGUGCUAAAACUACGAAGUUCACAUGAUAAAUCAAGCUUUCAAUUAGGUUCCGUUGGAGAUUUGGCGCCAAGUAAAGCAUUGCUAUAAGAAGAAAGCAAAACUCCUUGAGAAGUUGUCUAGAAGAUGGGGACAAUUUUCCGUUCCAACAACAAUCAAAUCCCGCCCGAAUCAUGCAUUUACCACCUUUCUGAAAUUCUGCUUGAAAGGUUUGUUGCCAAAAUACGUGCUUCAUGGCAAGCUUAUGACUUUGUGAUCUUGAGAAAAAAAAACUCACAACGACUUUCAAAUUUGUAAUUUGUUCGAGCAAUCCAUCGAAAUAUAUACAAAAAUGCAUCCGCGGGUUGAGAGAGUAAGACAUUGCUUCAAUAUCCAAGGACGAAAUCCUGGAGGAGUUCAUUAGGUCAGAGGAUGAGCAACCAGGAAUCACGAUUGUUCAUCGGGAAACCUUGGAGCUCCCUACCAUUGAUUUUAUAGCAUCCAGGACGACGUAAGGCCAUCUCUAACCGAGGGCUGGCCAGAGGGCUCGUUUUAGCCCUCUGGCCUCCAAGAUUCUCCAAGAUAUUAAUAUUUUAAUGAACAGUACAUGGCCAUAUUUGCCUCCAUCUCCAACCGAGGGCCAAAGGGCCAGAUGGCUCGUUUUAGCCCUGUCACAAAAAACCGUCUCCAACCGAGGGCCAAAGGGCCAUAGGGCCAAACAUAAUUUAUUAUUUAAAAACUUCAACUAAAAUGUUGUUUAAGUUUCAUAUUGUAUAAUUUUUAUGUUGGUUAAUGUUAUUUAAUGUUGUUUCAUAUUGUUUAAUGUUGUUUCAUGUUACUUAAUUUAAUUUAAUGUUGUAUAAUGGCUUAGGAAGUUAUAGGAAAAAAAUAGAAUUUAAAAAAAAUAUGAAACAAAUUUUGUCAAAUAGAAGUUAUAGGAAAAAAAUGGAAUUUAAAAAAAAAUAUGAAACAAAUUUUGUGAAAUAGAAGUUAUAGGGAAAAAAUGGAAUUUAAAAAACAAUAUGAAAUAAAUUUUGUGAAAUAGAAGUUAUAGGAAAAAAAUGGAAUUUAAAAAAAAUAUGAAAUAAAUUUUGUGAAAUAGAAGUUAUAGGAAAAAAAAAAUAUGAAACAAAUUUUGUGAAAUAGAAGUUAUAGGAAAAAAAUGGAAUUUAAAAAAAAAUAUGAACCAAAUUUUGUGAAAUAGAAGUUAUAGGAAAAAAUAGAAGUUAUAUGAAAAAUUUUGUAAAUAAAAAAUAAUAAUAAUAAUGUAAAAAAAAAAAUCAAAUCAAAUGCAACGGCUAGUAGCCGUUUCAUUUGAAUUUAAAAAAAAAAAAAUCUUGUCGGUUAUAACCGACAGGAAUACACCAUUAUUUAGUAUAUUAAAUAAUAGCAUGUAUAACCGACAGGAAUAACAAAACUAUAAAAAAAAUAGCCAGCCCGGGGCUGGCUGGCUGGCCGGAAGCAGCCAGCCAUUUGGCCCUUUGAAAUUCCGUGGGGCCCUCCUAGAUUCUCGAGCCCUCUGGCCUAGCCCUCGGUUGGAGACGGUUUUAGAGUUAUUUUCGGCCCUCUGGCCCUCUGGACCCUUCGGUUGGAGAUGGCCUAAAGAUCCUCAACCAAAUCAUCGAGGCGAGCCGUGAGUGGGGCAUACACAGAAUGAAUAUAUACAUAAACCAAAUGCAGUUCAACGUCCUUAUUAUUUUUGUAAUGUAUCAUUGUACCUUACGACAUCAAAGAAUAAUCACAUACUAUUGUCAACCCAAUUUCAUAUCAUGCAAUUCUAACUACCAAAUUCACAAGACAUUCUAAUUCAAGUAGCAGUAUGAUAUUUAUCAUCAAUAAUUCCUGGAACGAUCUUUUAUUGUUUUGUAUACUAUAUAUACAAUCUACAACCCAUAAUCUAGCCCAAUGAUCAAAUUAAAUAUUUGUAUUGAAAUUGGGAAGAUUCAUGUCUUAGUUUCAUCAUUAGAUGUAGUGAUCUUCCUUCUCAAAGAGGGCUAGGGUUUACGUCAGACACAACAUAUUCUAUUCCCAAUAUCUAGCCACUACUUUAUGAGAAUUUUCAUAUUUUCUAAUUAUGGCAUAAGUAGCUUCUAUCUUUAGAUUGUUGGAGCAAUAUUAAAAAAUAUAAAAAGAAUAAAAGAAUUUCAAUAAUAAUAAUCAUAAAGAAAAUCACAACAUCAAUAGUAUGCAAGAUUAAUAUAAAUAACUAGAGAGAAAGUAAGAAAGACUGGCAAACUUAGAGGUUGAGGCUUGCAUAAAUGCAAUGUCCUAAAAACAGAAUUUCGUCCCUCCUUUUGUGCUUGUAGUUCGGUAGGCUUCUGUCUCCCAGGAUUCAACAAUUUAUAAUCCGAAGUUCUUCGUUUGUCAUAUUUUUUAAUAUUGCUCCAACAUAGACAUAAAAUUAUUAUUUGGAACAAUCAGAAAUAUGAAUGUAUGCAAUUUAAUAGGGUAGAGACGUAACAUUAACCCUAUAAAGUGAUUCUCAUAAAACUAGGGUAAUAAUAUUUACCUCUCGCUCAUGUCUGGAUAGACAUGAAGCGGUGCAUAGGGUUUGCUUGACUGUAAUUUCCUAAUGUUAUUUGUUUUGUGUUUGAUAUGAAGAACGAGAGAAAAGAGUGGGAAAACCCUAUUUCUUAGGAGUAAGAAUUAACUCUAAUUUUCUAUCAUCCAAUACCAAUGGUUUCAUGAGUUUAUAGAACAAAAUUGCUGCUUUUUAAAGAUAUGUAACUUUUCAUCUAUAAGUAUAUAUCAUUUAUCAAGGGACUGCACCUAAACAACAUGAUCUUUCUACGAAAUACAGUUAACACUAUUUUUUAUUCAAUUACUAGCUGAUGAGCACACAUUGUAAAAAAUUAAUAUAAAAUGUUAACGUGACUUAAUCGUAAUUAUUCAAGUAUGAGAGGAGAAAAGGAAAAAAAAAUUAGGAGGGGAGAGAACGUUCUUCAAUUGUGUAGAGGGAUAAUAGCGGCGGAAAUGAAGACAACGUCACUUCACUGAGCGUAAGGACGAGUUGUACAGAAACUCAACUUAUUGUAGCGGUGGAAAUGCAGACAACGUCACUUCACUAAGCGUAAGGACGAGUUGUACAGAAACUCAACUUAUUGUGUAGAGAGAUGAUAGCGGUGGAAAUGGAGACAACGUCACUUCCUUUUUAUGCGAAUUGUGAGAGAGGGCAGUUGAACUAUCCAGCGAAAAGGAAUGAGCCACGUCCUCUUCAUGAAUGCAUCUUAACUUUUCUGCCACAUGUAAGUAUGUAUAUGUAUACAGCACUUCACGUAAAGGGAGUGUGACCAUAAUAUCAGAUACACAAACGUCCAAAGCCCUUCAAAUAGAUUGUUCACAACCUUUCUUUUUCUGUUUAUUUUUGGAGUUUCAGAAAAUGGGAGUGGAGUCUGUGGAGAGAGAACGCGAAAGCAAUGAGGGUACAAUCCCAGCUGAGUUCAUUAGGUCGGAGAACGAGCAACCGGGAAUCACAACCGUUCAUGGGAAAGUCUUGGAAGUACCAAUAAUUGAUUUCAGUGACCCUGAUGAGGAAAAGCUGAUCGUCCAAAUUACUGAGGCCAGCUCCAACUGGGGCAUGUACCAGAUAGUGAACCACGACAUUCCCAGCGAGGUCAUAAGCAAAUUGCAGGCUGUUGGGAAGGAGUUUUUUGAGCUUCCACAGGAGGAAAAGGAGGCUUAUGCUAAGCCUCCGGACUCCGGCUCAAUUGAAGGCUAUGGGACAAAGCUCUUCAAGGAAAUUUCUGAAGGCGAUACUACGAAGAAAGGGUGGGUGGACAAUCUGUUCAAUAAGAUUUGGCCUCCAUCUGUUGUUAAUUACCAGUUCUGGCCUAAGAACCCACCUUCUUACAGGUUAGUCACACUUUGUUUUCAGUGCCAAUUACUUUUAUUUAGACAUACAAAACUGCACAUUCAGUGAUCCACUCUUGUUGUCGUUCCAAUUUUAUCAAAAUUACAUAGAACCACUCUUUAAAUGUGGUUUACAUUUAUUUUAUUCUUUUAGUUUGGGUUUUGUAUAUUUUUUCUGUGAUAAUUUUUUCAUUUCGUGGUCGUUUUUCGAUGUACUUUUUUCCAACGUUAUUAAUUAUGUUUUUUAUGACCAAUUUUCCAAGGUUAUUAUUACAGAGAACUUUAAUGAAAGGACUACAUUUUUACUUUAAAAAGUUAAUUCUGGUAUUAUUUACUUACAAUACAUUUGUAUCAUUUUCGUUAAAAUUCAAAGUUUUCAAGUUAUUUUUAUUAAUUUUUCUUAUUAUUAUAUGAAACAUAAAAUUAAGAAUAAUAUUGCAAGUAGCCCACUAUUACAAUGACAAAAAGAGUGUUUGUUCUUACAUUACGGUGCUUGUUCAAAUCACAUCAAUUUCUUAAUCUAACAUUGCUGUCAAAUAUUGCUGUCAAAUAUGUAAUAUUAGUGCCACUUAGAACUUCAGUUUAGUGGUAUUUUUCUUCACUUGUACAUGAAAGGUCUUACAAUUAGUAUUUUAAAUUUUCAUUUGGUAUUCUAAAUAUUUUAUAAUUAGAAAGAAAAUAUACUUGUGGAGAAGUGUAUAAUGAGACAUUUUUUUUUGUCAAAUUAGAAUGAGAUUGAAAUAUUAAUAACAAUUCUAAAUAUAUAUAUAUAUAUAUAAUAUAUUUUAGAACUCGUUUGGAAGUACUUUUAAAAUAACUUAAAGCGCUUUUUAUGAAAUUGAUUUUGGGUUAUAAGUGUUUUUUGAUAGAAUCAUCAGAUAUGUGCUUCUUUCAGGAAGUUUAUAAAAUUAUUUUUUAGAGAUUCUCUUGCAUUUUUAUAAAGGAUUGAUUUCAAAAAAAUAUUUUCACAAAAAAUAUUUUAAUCAUUUCAAAAGCAUUUUGAUACGAGCGCUUUGAAUUGUGAUUAUAUAUUAAGCAACAAGAAAAUUUCAAUUAAGCAAGAGUCAUUGCUCACUGAAAUACACCGUGGUCGUUGUCGAAAUGAUGUAUGUACUUACAUUAUUAAUUGGUAAGGUAAAUUAUAUUUUAUCAUGUUAAGUUUGAGAUUAUAAUCUCAUACAAAAUAUUUAAAACAUUUAUAUUUCACAACAUUUAUAUUUCACGAAUUAUUUCAUUUCAAUUUUAUACCUCAGUCGUAAUUUUUGUUAAGAUCAGUUAUCUGCCGAUUAGGACAUCAUGGGCCCAUAAAAUUUGUCAGGAUAAAAGUUGAGAAAAAAACGAAGAAGGAAAUAAUAUGGUAAAAAUAUUUUUUUAACUUAAAAAAACGAAAAAAAGCAAAAUUUUUGUUAAGUUCUCAGUUAUCUGCCGAUUAGGACAUCAUGGGCCCCAUAAAAUUUGUCACAUUGGAUAAAAGUUGAGAAAAAAACAAAGAAGAAAAUAAUAUGGUAAAAAUAUUUUUUUUUAACUUAAAAAAACGAAAAAAAGCAAAAUUUCAUCUUCUCGAGCAAGUUUCCGCCGUUCAUCCUUACCCUCCUUCCCCCCUCCGUCUGUCCCGCUCCCUUCACCUUCACCACGAAAACCACAUCACACAGCCUGCAAAUCCAGAGCUCCUCCAAAACCUUGAAACCCACCCCAAACAAAUCAAAAUUCCAAAUUUCCAGUGUAAAUUACGAAAUUAAGAAAGGUAUAUGGUGAUUCUUAUUUCUGAAUUUCUAAUUGAUGAGUUUACGGCGAAGCGAAGAUGGCGAUUUCUAAACCGACAAGCGAGUCAACUCAGUGAGCAAAGUGAAGAUGCGAGCAAGCCAACUCUGAACGAGUCGACCAUCAAAGGCUACCUGCACGUCAUGAUUAGCAGUAGAUCCAUCAGUGGCGUCUUCAAUAUUUUUUUUCUUCGAACUCCUGCCUGCCCACAUCCCGCUCCAGAUCCGUCGAUCUCCAUCCCAGAAGCCAAAAACUGAAAAAGUUCCCAAAAUCACACACUCAAAACAAAAACAGAGAAAUCCCAAAAUUUUCCUGCACAUUCUCUCAUUUUUCCUCUAACCAAACACAUCAUGUUAUCUUUCCCAAACAAUAUCUAGAGCCUAAUCCACCCAUUCCACUUCAAAUACUCACAAACCCAGCAAAACCAAGAAACCAAAAACUAAAAAAAUUCAAAAUUACCAAUUGAGGAAAACGCUGAGAUUGGGGGCGGGGUUCUGCAUUUGCAGAAGUUUGGGUGGGAAUGGCGGUGAAGUGAAAGAUUUAGGGCUCUUUUUUUUUUUUUAUCCUUUUCUACUUUUUAAGUUUUAAUCAUAAAUAUUUUGUUAAUUAAAUAUUUUUAUAGCUGUUUGGCCAUCUGGUAGAAGUUUGGGAGCCACGGCAACAUAAAUGUGAAAUUUAUUUUUGUUAUAUUAUCAUUUAAUAGUUAAUUUAACAGAUUUUUAACAGUUUAUGAAAUUAAAGUGAAAUAAUAGUAUAUGUAUGAUAUUGAAAAGUUUUAAAGAUGUAUGAGAUUACAAUGCACUUAAAUCUUCUUUCAACAGUAAUAGAGCAAAUGGAAAUAAUUAAUAAUUAACUAUUUAAAAUUUGAUGGGGUGCAGGGAAGCUAAUGAAGAGUAUGCUAAGCAUUUGCACAACGUGGUGGAAAAGCUAUUUAGGCUGCUAUCUUUAGGGUUAGGGCUUGAAGGACAAGAGUUAAAGAAGGCUGCCGGUGGUGAUAACUUAGAGUACCUUCUCAAAAUUAACUACUACCCACCAUGUCCUCGCCCUGAUCUUGCCCUUGGAGUGGUGGCUCACACCGACAUGUCCACCGUCACCAUUCUCGUCCCCAACGAUGUUCAGGGCCUCCAGGCUUGCAAAGAUGGCCGGUGGUACGACGUUAAGUACAUCCCUAAUGCCCUUGUCAUCCACAUUGGUGAUCAGAUGGAGGUACAUAUUGAUAAACUACUUACGGUAACCCACCUAAUCAUAAUAUGCAUGUUGCUCCUUAAUACAACAACAAAAAAGAAAAACAGACAAACAAACCUUUAAUUAACACUUUAGGAUUAUUCAUUCAUUUAUGAGUAAGAGGUUUUAAAUUUAAAUGUUGUAAAUGACGAGUUUAAUACCGAUUUAUUCCUCCACUUUUAAUGUAUAAAUAUAUCAGUAUAAAAAAUACACCUUCAAUCCAUAAUCUAAAGAAGUUUUAGGCUUCUAAUUUUAAAUCCCAAAUAAAAUUCAUAUGCAGAAAACUGCAAGAUAAAAUAUUUAGAGUUCCGCAACACCUUUUAUAAAUACAGUUAGAAGACCAUCAUGUAUUACGGUGCUCCUGCAUUAUUGUAGUUAAUGGUCCCAAAUUUUUGUUAUAUCAUUGCAUGCAUUUAUGAGUGACUCACCAAACUUGAGAAAUUUUUCAGUGUGGCUAGAAGACGGUUCGGUAUAUUAAGUAUUAUAAUAUAAAUGGUUAAAAAAAAAAUUUAAGUAUCAAACCACUUGUAUCAUCAUAUUUUGUAUACCGAGUUUUAUUUUCGGCACAAUGAAAACCCUUCAUCAAACCUCCUUUUCUAAUCACUAAUUUAAUUAAUUGUGGUGACGUAGAUAAUGAGCAAUGGAAAGUACACGAGUGUCCUGCACAGAACCACUGUGAACAAGGAUAAGACAAGAAUCUCAUGGCCUGUGUUCUUGGAGCCGCCAGCAGACCACGUCGUGGGUCCUCAUCCACAGCUUGUGAACGCCGUUAAUCAACCAAAGUACAAGACCAAGAAGUACGGCGACUAUGUUUACUGUAAGAUUAACAAGCUUCCCCAAUAAAUAAACAAUAAGCCCCAGAAUAAAUAAAUAUUAUGAAGUGGGUGGUUUUGUUUAUUUUUCUUCUCCAUCUUUUUUUGUUGGUAAAGUUGUGAGUGGUGUGGAAGUGGGUGGCUUUGUCUAUUUUUCUUUUUCUUUUUUUUUUUGUUGGUGAAGUUGUGAGGGGUGUGUACCUUAUUAAUAUGAAAUAAGUGUUUGAAUUUGUGUUCCAGGUUCAAACUAUUUCUUGACCUUUUAGUGUUAAUCAAUGUAAGAUUUCUUUUGUGCUAAAAAAAAAAAUUAUUCGAAUCAAAAGGUGAUGAGCGAAAUCGUACUCAGUUAUAUUUGAUUGUGGAAGAUGAGAUUCGGUUUCAACAUUCUUAUUCCUCUAAUUCACAAUAUGUUUAUGAUUAAGACCUCGUUUGGUGUCUAGGAUUAUAUUAGACUGAAUAGCCACUAUAUUGAAUAAAUGUUGAACGAACAAUGAAAAAUUUGUAUCCAACUUAAAACUAGAAGAUGGAUUAAUUCAUAUAGGAAACUUAUCCAUUCUAAUUUCCUCUCAAAUGGUUAGAUUAGAAGGAUAAGUUUCCUUCAUAUCUAAUCCUGUUUUAAUGUACUCUAAAUGAAAAAUCAUUUACCUCUACCUCCGGUAUUCAUAGGAUUUUAUGAAUUGUCCAAUCUAUUACAGUUGUAGACACAACAAAGGUUAACGAUUUUCAGUGGACGCGGAGGCAACAAGUUCAGUUGAAUAGCGUAAUGAGUUUAAGGUUACAGAAGCAUUCACCAACUUUGUCAAACGAUACCUAAGAAAUAAAGAAUAUAAAAAAAAUUUAACUUAGAACUUCAAAUACAAAAAAAUAUAUUUUAAUUAAUUGAAUUACAAGUUUUUUUUUUUUUUUGGAAACAAUUUACAAGUUGUUUGUAAAACAUGUAUCUAUAUAUAUAUAAAGUGAGCACCCUAUAAGGAUGAAACAUUCAAAAUACCAUAGAUUGCCCUUUAAGAAUUUCAAGAAUUACAAAUGAACCAAAAAAAGUUUAAUUGAUUCACCACUUUUUAAUUUUCAAUGAAUAUAAAUUUAAAACUUUAGAAACAUAUAAAUUAGCUAUUUAAAUAAAAAAAAUUAAAAAACGAAACAUGAUCUAAUAUAAAAAGACCAAUUGCCACGUGCAUAUGCGUGUGGCAAAAAACUAGUCAGUUUUAAAUUCACAACUUUUGAGUCAAGUUAAAAUAAAUUUGUUUUAGCUUUAGAAGGAAUGAAAAUUUACUUUGAUAAUUAUUCAGGUCAUCACUUAACGUUGAUGGUCUAAUACAUGUUCAAUUUUCGAACGGUACGUAACUAUUGAUAUAUUUUAAAAUGUUUGGACCGAUUUAGAAUUAUUCCAAAGUGGUUAGGUUUCCUGUUUUUGCUUCAUUUUUUUUAAUGAUUUUUAAUAAAAAUAUAAAUUAGAUAUUUAAAUAAAAAAAAUUUUAAAAACGAAACAUGUUCUAAUAUAAAAAGGUCAAUUAACACGCAAGAGGCUAGUAGUUUAGAAUGUGUAAUCUAUUAAAAAAAGUUAUGCUUACACGAGAAGAAAGAAAGUGAGGAGACGAGUUUGAUUGUACUAGACAAUAUUGUAGUGGAGGUGUCAUAUCCCAGAACCACUUUUGCAGUAGGUAAUCACGUGGUGGUUAGUUGGGAGAAAAGACUAAACUUGUUUGGAUUUGUUUUUAAAAUAAUUAAAAGUAUUUUUGGUAAAAAUAUUUUUGAAACUAAUCUUUAAUAAAAAUUCAAGUGAAUCUUGAAAAAAUAUUUUAAGUGUUUCCUGCAAGAAGUACAUAUCUGGUGCUUCUUCAAAAAAGCACUUAAAGUGUUUUUAGAACUCAAAAUCAAUUUCAUCAAAAACGUUUUCAAUCAUUUUAAAAGAAUAUCCAAACGAGUCCUAAAUAUUUCAACAACCAAACUACUUUUAAGAAAAUGGUGUAAUUAUAAAUUUCCAUUUAGAGUUGACGUGUGGGGCUUUUUUUUCUUUUCUUUUUUGAUACAGAAGUUUAAGGAUUAUCAAAAAGAGUAUUUAUUAAAUAUAGCCAAAAAUUAACUCUUAAUUUCAAAAAUAUUACUUUUUAUAAAAACUUUCAAAUAUAUCCAAAAUUUCACUUAAAUAGACACAAAUACCCUCAAAUUUAGCAAUUAAAUAAAUUAAAGGAUUUUUUAGCUACUGUCGCCUUAAGCUCCGGUCCAACUUCACCUUUGCUUCUACUCUCCACCACCACAACCCUAUCCCCUUCGACCCCCUUCUCAUCGACAUUGAACAUCAUCGCGGUUACCACAAGUGGGAGCCGCAUAAUUUCAAUCAUGCCUUCAACACUUUUUUUUAUUUUUUAUUUUUUAUACUAAUAUCAUUUUUAGUUUUAAAUAUAAAAAUAGUUUUUAAAGUUAAUCCACAUGUCCUUAUAUGAUUGUAUUUGUGAGACUCACAUGUCACCUCAUCAUCACACUAACAGAGCAAUUGACAUAUUUUUCAUGAAAAAACUAAAAUGAUCAAGAUGGACAAAUUCAAAGAAAGACAAAAAUGAUUCACGAUAGACAAAUUCAAGAACAUUACUAUUGAUUAUCAUUAAUUGUUAAGGACCAGAUUAAGGAGUUAUGUCAAUAUCACGAAUUAUUUUGGCUAAAAAGCCUUUAAUUUAUUUGAUUGUUAAAUUUGACGGUAUUUGUGUCUAUUCAGGUGAAAUUUUGGAUAUAUGUGAAAGGUUUUAUAAAAAAAAUGAUAUUUUUAAAAUUAAGGGUUAAUUUUUGGUUAUAUUUGUUAAAUACUCGAUUAAAAGACUCUAACUUUUUUUUACUAUUUAAUAUUACAGUCUAGUUAUAUUUUUAUAUAUUUAUUAUUGAGGCUUAUAAUCUCGCAAGUGAAUAGUUCAAACUAAAUAAUUACGGUUAUAUUUUUUUCACCUGUAAAAGAAGUCAUAUGUGACAUCCCGUCCCAAAAUUUACAUUUUUGUUAAUUUUUAUAAUGUUUAUAAUUUUUUAUCAUUUAGUUAUUUUUUUAAGAGGAAGAAGAGGAGAAGAAGUGGGGGGAACGAGAUAAGGAAGAAAAAAAAAGGAAAGGGCUAUUGCCUAAUGAGAGAGAUGAGGGAGAGAGGGUAGACGAAUGGGUAGAGGAGAAAGGAGGAGGUGACCAACCAGAGAAGGGGGAAAGGAGGGAAAGGAGGGAGAAGAAAAUGAAAGGGGUUUCCCCUUGACCCGCUCCACUCGACAAGCACCACGGCCAAAUUCGGCCAUUUUUCUGACGAUUCAAACCUUCCCACUACCUGCAACCUACUCCAUAACCUUCCCUCUUCCUUUUCCAUCCAAAAUUAGAAGGAAGUUGGUGGUAAUUUUAGGAAAAAAAUCACACCAAUGGGUGCUAUGGUUCUUGGUCGAGAUUCAACAAAUUCUUAAAUGAUUUCAUCAAAUCACCACCAACAACAAGUUUGGGGGUGUCAGAGUUGCUAUAGAGCCGAAUUGAGGACACCCAAAACUAGGGUUUCCAACGGGUUUUAGCAAAAUUGGGGCUCUUCUAAGUCAAAUUGGACUUGGCUACAGGCGACGAUGGUUCGUGAUGUCUUGACAUGCGUGCUAGGGAGUCGUGGCAUAGACCUCAGGUGAGUGGGUCUUUUCCAUUCUAUCGUGUAUUAUAUAUAUAUAUAUAUAUAUAUAUGAUUGACAAUUCCAUAAAUGUUUAUAAAUCAAUUAUUGCUUAUGAUUAAUGUGAAUGCUUUGAAGUACUAUUGUGAACUACAAAUGGCUUGAUCCUUGUUUAGGGUACGUAGGCAGUCUAACGAGACGUUAGAUGCAGCCAUUCAAUAUUUGAAACAAAACCUUGCUUGGGAAUUGAACAAUGUGAAGGAAAUUGGUGAAAAUAUGAGAUUUAACCUUAUGUUUUUAGUAAUUGAAUGUUGGUCAAAAUCAAUGUGGAAGGAAUCAAGAAACUGAAAUAAGGAAACGUAAGUAAUGAUAGUUAAUUAAACUAGUGUUUAGUUGGACUUAUCCCUGAUAAUUAUUUCCCAAAAUAAAUAAUUCGGGAGUAGGGCGUUAUAGAUUGUCAUUUUACCCCACAUUAUAUAUAUAUAUAUAUAUGUGUGUGUGUGUGUGUGUGUGUGUGUGUGUGUGUGUGUGUGUGUGUGUGUGUAUGUGUGUGUGUGUAUUGGAAAAAUACUAUGAUAUGGUUCAGUUUUAGAUUUGCAUUAUGGCAUAUCCAUGUGUACAUUACAUGCACAAAAUUAUUAUGAAAGUUUUGAAGUGCAGAGAUGAACUCGGAAUACACAGGUAAGUUCAGGUGAGUUAAUGAUAUUAGUUGAAAUGAGUGAGUUAUGGCAUGAUCACAUUAUGUGUUAGGCGACUCCGACAUUGUCGUACAAGUUGCCUAUGAGUUGUAUAUGUCACAUGAGAUGCAUUUAGAGCUCAUAAACCUGCACCCCGGUGUUAGUGCUCUCUCCCGUGGCCAGUGCACAGUCCUUCAUGUAAUGUUCACCUCCCGCACCUUACGUUCACCUGGGAUCCAAGGUAGGUGCAUAAGCCUGUCGUACAAACCAUUAUAGGUGGUUCCAACUCAUAGGUGAAUCGCGAUUAUUCGCACAGUCUUCACGUGAUUGUAGCACUUGAACGUAUUUAUUUACACCCAGUUAUGUCGUACAGACCACCUUAGGUGGUUCCGACUCGUGUGCAGGUAUACUUAUUGAGCUAUGGAUAAGUCGUACAUGUCACUAUAGGUGACUCCCGACUUAUUAGCUAGCAUAUGUGAUGAGAUAUGGAUAAGUCGUACAGGUCACUAGAGGUGACUCCCGACUUAUGAGCUAGCAUAUGUGAUGAGAUAUGGAUAAGUCGUACAUGUCACUAUAGGUGACUUCAGACUUAUGAGCUAGCACAUGUGAUGAGAUAUGGAUAAGUCGUACAGGUCACUAUAGGCGACUCCCGACUUAUGAGCUAACAUAUGUGAUGAGAUAUGUAUAAGUCGUAUAUGUCACUAUAUGUGACUCCCGACUUAUGAGCUAGCACAUGUGAUGAGAUAUGGAUAAGUCGUAUGGAUAAGUCGUACAUGUCACUAUAGGUGACUCCUGGCUUAUGAGUUAGCAUAUGUGAUGAGAUAUGGAUAAGUCGUACACGUCACUAUAGGUGACUCCCGACUUAUGAGCUAGCACAUGUGAUGAGAUAUGGAUAAGUCGUACAGGUCAAUAUAGGUGACUCCGACUUACGAGUUAACAUUGAUUGAUGAGAUAUAUGUGCAGUCGUAUAGGUCACCAUAGGUGACUUCGACUUGCGUGCUAGUAUGGGUUAUUAAUCACUUGAUUAUUGAUAUUGUUGAUGAGAUGCUGUGUUAUGGUAUAAUUAUGGUUUACUGUUGAUAUACUUUUGAUUUCACAUUGACACAUGGUAUGAUUUUCUGGAAACUAUACAGGUGUUGCAGCGAAGGGUUAUAAUGCUUUAGAUGGUUUCUAUUAAAAUUUCAUUUCUAGGGCCACUCACCCUUGUUUUGUUUUCACCCUCUAGGUUUUAUUAGUUGAGCUUUCUUAUAGUCGAAGAUUCGUGGCGAUUCUUAGUAUUGGAGAUUCUAUCGAGGGUACGAUUCUUAAUCCACUCUACUGUACUUACUUAUGCUCUAACGUCACGUGUGAAGUGGGUUCCUUCCUGCUUACCAGUGCACUCUGGUAAUUAGGCACUCUUAGGUUUAAAUUUAUUCACAUUUUUUCCACAUCAUCACACUUUAUGGUUUCGUCACCUUCCAGGUGUCGGCCAGCGCAACUCGAUUCGGAGUCCUAGUGGACAUUCUGGGUCAGAAUGUGUCAUCAUAUGUUUAAAUCUCGUGAAUGAAUAUUUUAAACUAAUUAUUACCAUUGACUUAUUAAAUCGGUUCCGGUGGUUUGGACAUGUGCAAAGAAGGCCUACUGACGCUCCGGUUCGAAAAUGUGACUACGGGACAGAGGUUCAGGGCCGAAGGAGUAGAGGAAGACCUAGGAAAACUUUGGAAGAGACCCUAAGAAAAGACUUGAGUACUUGGAUCUAACGGAGGACAUGACACAAAUGAGCGCAAUGGCAUUCUAGGAUUCAUAUAGCCGACCCCACUUAGUGGGAAAAGGCUUUGUUGUUGUUGUAUUACCAUUGACUUAUUAUAUGACUUAACUUUAUCUUCAUCCUCUUUAUUAAAAAUAUAUUAUUGUAAUGUUUUCUUUGAAAAAAGUCAUGUUUCUUUGUUUUCAAAUCACAAUUUGAAUAUAAUAUGGCAGCAAGUGCAAUUAGUGUCAUAAUUUAUCUUUGCUUAUAAUGGAUGAAUUCUUAUCUCAAUUCUGUUGAAAGAUUACAAAAAAUUAUGAAGCUAUCGAGUGAAAUGUAAAACUAGAAGAUGGAUUAAUUCAUUUAGGAAACUUAUCCAUUCCAAUUUCCUCUCAAAUGGUUAGAUUAGAAGGAUAAGUUUCAUUCAUAUCUAAUCUUGUUUUAGUGUACUUUAAAUGAAAAAUCAUUUACCUCUACCUUUAGUAUUCAUAGGAUUUUAUGAAUUGUCCAAUCUAUUACAGUUGUAGACACAACGAAGGUUACCGACUCUCGAUGGACGCGGACUCAACAAGUUCAGUCGAAUAGAGUAACGAGUUUAAGGUUACAGAAGCGUUCACCAACUUUGUCAAACGAUACCUAAGAAAUAAAGAAUAUAAAAAAAAUUUAAACUCAGAACUUCAAAUACAAAAAUAUAUAUUUUAAUUAAUUGAAUUACAAGUUGUUUUUUUUUUUUUUUUUUUGGAAACAAUUUACAAGUUGUUUGUAAAACAUUUAUAGUUUAGAAUGCGUAAUUUAUUAAAAAAGUUAUACAUACACAAGAAAAGAAAGAAAAUGAGGAGACGAGUUUGAUUGUACUAGACAAUAUAAUUGAAUAUCAAAGUGCGCAACGAACAAGACUAACAAAAUAAGAAUAUUAUUAAAUAAACGAGAAUGUCGAAACGGCUACAAAACCCUAAGAGACUACAUUGUGAAUGACCUGCUAUUCAUGCUAAACUAUAAGCUAUAUUUAUAGAGAGCAAUACCUAGAAAUCCUAAUUCGUAUGGGCUAGGCCCAUAUACUAACUCAACUAAUUAUAAUAUACUAAUAUUUUUCAACACCCCCGGUCAAACUCAUGGCGGUAUACGACAUGAGUUUGCAAACAAGCAGAUGCAAACUGACAGACAUGCAAACUUGACUAGACUUGACUUGAGUUGACUGGAGAACUUGCGAACUUGACUUGACUUAACUUGAUUGGCGAACUUGCGAACUUGACUUAACUUGACGACUUGACUUGAUUCUUGAUUCUUGAUUCUUGAUUCUAGUUCAAACUGGCUAACUUGACUUGAUUCUUGAUUCUUGUUCAAACUGGCUAGUGUUGAGAGUAUGAAAAGAACCCGUCACUAAACGGACGAGAUUUUCAUAUCUCAAUUGGAGCAAGAAACGAACAAAAACAAGGUUCUAUCACUCAAGUGGUCACAAGUCUAAACACUUGAGUGACAGACAAACAAACUCGCAACACUUAUCCGUGUGGGCCUUAAAAAACUUCAAACCAAAAAUGCCCAUCAUUUCCCAGCCAAUUCUUUCUCAUUGCCCGUGUGGGCCAUACAAAAAUCAAACAGUUUUUUUUUUUUUGUCUUUUUUCAACACUUUGAUCAAAGUAAAAGUCCGUCUGAUCAAAAUAUAUUGUCAUCAUCAUACAAUACUUGGAUUCAUCAUAAUUGAAGACAUGGGAUCAUACAAUACUUGGAUUCAUCAGAAUUGAAGACAGGGGCCAACAGAGUAGCCUCGAACAACAGCAGUUCCUCGGACCGACAACCUGGAUUCUAUUUGGUAGCGGUAAUGACGGUCAACAAACAACAAGUGCAAACGUGAGCAGCAAGUGAGUGGCUCUUAGGCAGCGGGUACCGCAGUGGCAAACCAUGAAUGGAUUGGGUGCGGGUUGAUCAACAGGUCUGGCAACGAGUGGUGCGCAGCGCAGUGCUAAUCUGAUGCGGGACGGAUCUGGGUGCGACGGCAGUGAGUCAUGCAGGCGAUGGUUGGGUGGUCAUAGAUACUGAGCUUGGUGGCUUCAAUUACAGACUUUACGAGAUGGUAGUUUUUCUUUUCCAGAUUUUUUGUUUUUCAGACUACACCAACGACAAUUUAAACCAGAAAUAAACAACAAACAACACAAACAGACAUACUAAUACGAAUCAAGAACCUGAAUGAUCAAACCUGCUCUGAUACUAAAUUGAAUAUUAAAGUACGCAAUGAACAAGACUAACAAAAUAAGAAUAUUAUCAAAUAAACGAGAAUGACGAAACGGCUACAAAACCUUAAGAGACUACAUUGUGAAUGACUUGUUAUUCAUACUAAACUAUAAACUAUAUUUAUAGAGAGCAAUACCUAGAAAUUCUAAUUUGGAUGGACUAGACCCAUAUACUAACUAACAAGUAAACUUAAAUAAUUAUAAUAUACUAAUAUUUUCAACUAGUAUUGUAGUGGAAGUGUCAUAAUAUCCCAUAACCACUUUUGCAGGAGGUAAUCACGUGGUGGUUUGUUGGGGGAAAAGAUUAAAUAUUUCAACAACCAAACUACUUUUAAGGAAAUGGUGUAAUUAUAAAUUUCCAUUUGGAAUUGACGUGCGGGGCUUUUUUUCUUUUCUUUUUUGAUUGAGACGUUUGAGUCGAUUAAAAGAAUCUAACUUUUUUUUUUUUACUAUUUAAUAUUACAGUUUAGUUAUAUUUUUAUACAUUUAUUAUUGAUGGCUCUAAUCUGGUAAAUGAAUAGUUCAAACUAAAUAAUUACGAUUAUAUUUUUUUCACUUGUAAAAGAAGUCAUAUGUUUAAAUCUGGUGAAUGAAUAUUUUAAACUAAUUAUUACCAUUGACUUGUUAUAUGACUUAACUUUAUCUUCAUCGUCUUUAUCGAAACUAUAUCAUUGUGUUGCAGUCCUAUUGGAAUAGGAAUGCGAUUGUGUAAAUCCUAGUAGAUAUGAGAAUGUAUCUUAUAUUCCUAUUAGGAGUAGAUUAUCUAUUAAAUAUUGUAAUCCUAAAGGGAAAGGUUUUUACCUAUCCUACUACUAUAAAUAAAGGCAUAAUGGGGUAGAAUAACACACACCCACAAUUACACAUCUCUCUCUUCUCUUUCUCUCUAUCUAUGCCGCACCUUUCUCUCUCUCUAUGGCCUCUAUAAUUGUUCAGUAAAUUAUGCCUACAACACGUUAUCAGCACGCUCUUGACGCUGCGCUAAAGAUAAUUUAUUCUUCAAUCAGGGGAGUAUUGUGUUUUAAUCAUUCUUUUUAUGAUUAAUUUAUUAUUUUUGAAUUAAUCUACAUGCUAUUGAUUCAAUUUAAUUUUCCUGUGUUGAAUGUGAUACAACGCAUAAGAGAUGCAAUUUCGGCUUUCUGAGAAGGAAUUUCUACAAAUUCAAAGACUUUUAUUGUUUUCUGCCAAUCAGGUACGCUUAAAAUAAAGUAAGAUAUUUGAAACGACCAUGAAGCAUGAAAACAUUUCCCAUGAUGCAUGAACCCCCUAUGUUUAUAUUCCUUCAUAUAUAUGAACAUAUAAUAUAUAUAUAUAUAUAUAUUAUAUGUUCAUAUAUUUGUCAAUAUAUAUAUUUGUUUCAUGCAUUACGUAAUUAUGCUAUGUGGAAUUUGUGAGUCAAAGAAUCGAAAAAAAUUAGAAGCAAUUCGUGUUUUUCAACCCUAUAUUUUUUUUUUGAAAAAAAAAAAGAAAGAAAAACAAAAAAGGAAGAAAAAUGACCUUUUUUUUGCCGCUGAAAUCGCACCAAGCCUGAAGCUUGGGACAAUCUUUUAGGCCUACUGCCCAAAUUGGACCAAGCUUGCUGCUUGGGUCCCUAUGCAUGGGCUUCAAGCCCUCGGCCCUUCCCUCAGGACAACCUAGCCCGUUUUCCGGGCUUUCUGUUCACUCGACCCAAAGCCCAGCUGGGCUUAUUUUUUUCCUCGGCCUGCUUACCUGCAGCUGGGCUGAUCUUUUUCUCGGCCCGUGAGUGUGCAGCGGGCAUGCAACUUGCUUUGCACAUUAUUGGGCAACCAAUUGCAGCCUACCCGAACCCAAUUUAGGCCUAAUUUUUUUUGUGUGGCCUGCAGCCAACAUUAAUAAUUACUGGGCCUUGACAAAUUUUAUUUUGCUUCUACGAUCGACCCCGAAUAGUCCCGAUCUAUUGAAUUAAUUAAAAGUGACAUGUAGUCCAUUAAUCUGAUAAUGAAUCCAAAAUUAUUGACCUGAAGAUCACUUUUGGACAUUAACGAUUCAAUAAUUUAUUUCUAUUCUUUGAACCGUUGACUCACUUUCGUAGUCCCGAAGCACUCACACUUGAGUUCCUGAAGCAACCUAAAUCCACUACACUUAGUUGUAUAUUGCAUUCUCUGUUCUUGCAGUAGCCUCUCUUUUAUGAACUAAACGUUCAUAAACUAAAUUGAACCUGUAGUUUUAAAUUUAGUGCCUUUGAAACCCGAACAUUUCAUAAAACAAUACACCCAUGAAAUCCCGACGUUUUUCAUGAAAACCAUGUCUUAGAACUCGAAUGUUUUAACUUUGAUACUUAUGGAUGAUUCCUUCCCAUAGCAACAAUCACAAUCUUGUUCCUUCCGAUUCAGUGGAUUGUCGAACCGUCACAAGUUUGAUUUUCCUGAUUUGGACGUUUCUAAUAGAAACCACUUUAUGUGAGGUACAAGACGUGAAUCUCCACUUGACUAUCAUGAAGCUGAAAAACCAUUGAAGCCAACAAUGGCAUGGAAGAGAUGACUAAGCCUCCACCAUGAUCUUCAUUCGGAGACUUAUGCUCAAAGCAUUACAAAUGGAAAUACCUCCCGAUCGAGGAUUCCAUGGCUCUUUGGCUCGCUUCUACGGACCGUUUAAUCAUGAAAUACAUUGCCUGAAGCAUACCAUGAUUACGCCCAUGAGUACAAUUUCAAAGUUUAUAAAUCCGAUCGAAUUUUGACUAGAGAAUACUUUUCUCGUUCUUCCAUGUUUUAACUUGCCCUUGAAGCAGCAGUGUAGAAAGUGGAAGUUUACCAAAUUCUCGGCUCUGAUUACUACCAAAAACGUGAGAGAACGGUAUGGACUCAGUUUAACUGGAGUCUACCGAAUAGCUCGACCCAAUUCAGUCAAAGCUUACCGAAUAGUGAUGCACUGCUUUGGCAGGGAUACAUCGAAUGACAUAUUCUCUCACAAUCCAAUUUCAAGUUUGUUUUUACAAUAUAUGGUAGAAUCAGGGCUUGCCAAUGUGUGGCAUCAUGCCCGAAGCAUGAUUAUUGGUACCUAAGACCUAAAACUUCAAGAAUAAGGGAAAGUAUUCUAGAACCUUAACCCUACAGAAUCUACUUCCGUCUUGAUGGAAUAGAUCAUUGGUUAUGCAUCUGUUCGUGCCCCUACCAAUGUUGUUAAGGAGUACCAUUCUAGCAGUCAAUAUGUGAGACUAAUUUUGUUCCACCGAACACCGUUGGAAGAGCAGAAUUUUGACAUGAAUGACCUUGUUGGCCGAAUCCACCCUAGUAACUUUGGUUUACUUUGUGAACAUUUUUCCAUGUUCUUGAAUUCACAUUUGGUGUAUGUUUUACUUAUGGAUAUUCUUAUUGAUAUUGUCCUCGAAUAUGAGUUAAUUGAAUCAUGUUUCUUAAUACAUGUGACCGAUUCAAUUAAACAUGUGAUUAGGUAGGAAUGUGGGAAAGUUAGUUGUCUGGAUGAAUGCAUACUAUGCACAUUAACUUUACACCUAAAUCACAUUUCUAACAACGACUUCAGGUAUAUCCACCCUGAUUAAGAACAUUGGCACGCUCCUCGUUGUAUGAAUGGUACUAAAUCACCAUUUAAGGGACCUUAAAUUCUCCCUGACUUUGAGUUUUUAAGGAUAUUCGAGAUGACAAUGAUCAUAAAUGAACCACUGAAGAAAAUAGAGUGGAAUAUCUUUGCACCACCUCCAAAAAUGAGCUUGAAGCUUUGAUUUGGGGCCAAUGGGUUGUCUCCCAACUGGGGCACAUGACACAUAUGGCCGGCUUGUAGCCGGGUGAUUGAGCAGUUUACUUGCUUUGGCAUGACCUUUUGGGACAUUUAGGUCCAACAAUGAUGCUACAAUGCAUCUCCUUACCUGAAGUAAGGAUCUUGUGCCUACAAGCAUACUUUGCGAAGCCUGCUCAUUAGGAAAAUUGAUUUUCUAUCAUUCCUUGCAAAGAUACGAAAUCACCCUUUUUCAUAAGUGGAUUCUAGGGAAUAUAUGUGGACCAAUCCAACCAAAAUGUAGACCAUAUAAAUACUUAUGGUUUUGGUUGAUGAAUUGACAAACUGGUCACAUGUUUGUCCACACAUAUUACUGCUAAACUUUAUGGCCGAUUAAGGGGUCACCACCCUACUUAUCCCAUAAAAUCUAGGAGACUGGAUAAUGCCGGAGAGUUUACAUCACCGGUUUUCGAUAAAGUAUUGCAUGUAUUUUGGGUUUAUAAUUAAACAUCGAAUUCCCAUGAUUCACCCAAAAUAGCCUUGCCUAGUGAUCAUAAAGCGCAAUUUAAACGAUCGCCCGAAUUUUGGUAAACGUACCAAGUUUUCAAUUUCUGCCUAGGGCUAUGCAAUCCUUGUACGCAAUUAUGUUGAUCCCCCUUAAGGCCCAUUGCCACCCAACCUAUAUGACGUUACAGUUGGUUACUGGGUAUGAACCUGACGAUUUUCGUAUUUACGCAUUUGGGUGUGUAUUCCAUGUGCCAAGUUGCGCCGCCACAAUGUACCACCAUGGGUCCUCAACGAAGGAUGUGUAUCUUUUGUCGAUAAUGAUUCUUCUUCACACUAGCUCUCUUAGAGCCCUUGCAUGCGAUUUCUUUAGCGCUCAUUUGCGGGUUGUCACUUUAAUGAGACAGUCUUCUCGUCAUUAGGGGGAGAUAAGAAUGUCAACGUUCCUAUAGAAUGGUGUGAAUUUGCGUGGAAAUUGCCCACUAUGUCUCAUCUUGAUCCCCAUACCGCACAAGUGUGAUAAGCAAGUACGAUGAAUUCUAGUUUUCAGAAUGUUGCUCUAGAUGCAUUCCUCUGAUCUAGCUAAAGUGAUGAGAUCAUAUACCAGAUGAAAACAUGCCUGCAAGGAUAAAUGUACUUAGCGGACGUCGAGUUAACAUCCCUGGAGGGUGUGCUGCCCCUGUUGGACGGUUUGGACACCCCUGUUGGAUUGUUUGGUACACCGGUGGAUAGCCAAUCAAUCUGUCUUGGCCUGGAGCACGACAGAUCAUUCGGUUCGUAGGAUUCACUUCCCUAGAAAAGGAAGAUACGUCACAACAAUGAAUCUAAACUUGAUCGCUGUCUCAAAUCAUUUCCAUCUCAUGAGAUUAAUUCGGAUUACUCCCGAGACUUAAAGUUCUUGGUCCAGUAUACUAGUUUGGGUGAGCUAAAUGGAAUUGAAAUGAGAUUAUCAUCGAUGAUGUUUUCACUUAUAUGGUAGCUACCGACAUAAAUGAAAAGCGACGAUAUCGAACCGUGGUCCAAUGAUUAAGUGACAACAUAGAACUGAUUGGACAACUAAAGUUACAAUCCAGGUCAAAUUCCUUACCAAAAGUGUGUAUUGGACUUGUCAUUCCUACACUGCCCAAGGAAACCCCGUUGUGUUCCAAGUGGGAAAUGAAGCAUUAUGAGAUGAAUGAAAUAGUGCAAUAUAAUGCAUGCCUUGUGGCACAAGGUUUCUCUCAAACGUCUUGUGAUUGAUAGUAGCAUUAUGACAAUCUAAACAACGAACAAGACGAACAAACAAACUGAUACGAAUGGCAGAUUAAAUCUCGAAUGAUCAAACCUGCUCUGAUAC